AAGUAAAUAAGAACAAUCACAAGAUUUACAUGGGCAUCAUGCCCUAAUCUUGAUUGAUCUUGACAUUAUAUAGCAUGGGAUGACUUAAUGGUGGUGGGUUACAACACACCACUUAUUUAAUCCAACCGGCAAUAUAAGUAAUGACGAUACUAUGUCUGGCAUGGUUGAUGUACCCGAACAUCUCAUGCCAACAAUUACUCUUGGACGUUUGCUUCACCAUUUCCUUUUUCUGCUUGAGUCCCAAGUGGUGGUUUUGGUUGUGCAUUCGGGUCAGGCAGUGGUUGUGGAUUCGGGUCUGGUAAUGGUUGUGGGUUUGGAUCAGGUUGCGGUCCUGGUAAUGGCUGAGGGUUUGGGUUUGGCUGUGGGUCCGGCAAUGGCUUCGGGUUUGGGUCUGGUAAUGGUUGCGGGUUUGGAUGAGGUUGUGGUCCUGGUAAUGGCUGAGGGUUUGGGUUUGGCUGUGGGUUCGGCAAUGGUAUCGGGUUUGGGUCUGGUAAUGGUUCUGGGUUUGGAUCAGGCUGUGGUCCUGGUAAUGGCUGAGGGUUUGGGUUUGGUUGUGGGUCCGGCAAUGGUUUUGGGUUUGGGUCUGGUAAUGGUUGUGGAUUUCGAUCAGGCUGCGGUCUUGGUAAUGGUUGAGGGUUUGGUUUUGCUCGUGGGUCUGGUAGUGGCCGCGGCUUUGUGUUUGGCUGUGGGUUCAUCAACUGUUGCAGGUUUUGUCCUGGCAAUAGUUGUGGAUUUGGGUCAGGNNNNNNNNNNGUUGUGGGUUUGGAUCAGGUUGCGGCCCUGGUAGUGGCUUAGGGUUUGGGUUUGGCUGUGGGUCCGGCAAUGGUUUUGGGUUUGGGUCUGGUAAUGGUUGUGGAUUUCGAUCAGGCUGCGGUCUUGGUAAUGGUUGAGGGUUUGGUUUUGCUCGUGGGUCUGGUAGUGGCCGCGGCUUUGUGUUUGGCUGUGGGUUCAUCAACUGUUGCAGGUUUUGUCCUGGCAAUAGUUGUGGAUUUGGGUCAGGGUGUGGUCCUGGUAAUGGUUGAGCGUUUGGAUCAGGUUGUGGAUCUAGCAGUGGUUGUGGGUUUGUAUGAGGUUUAGGCUCGGGUAGCGGUUGCGGCUUUGGGUCUGGUUGUGGUCCCGGCAAUGGUUGAGGGUUUGGAUCUGGCUGUUUUCCUGGUAGUGGUUCUGGAUUUGGGUUCGCCCGUGGGCCGUACUGAGGGUCUCUAGUGAUCAGGUUGUGCCUCCCGGCAGCAAGAGCAAACACUGGAAGAAGCAUAAGCAGCAACGGUGCUACGAGAAGAGAAGACGCGGAUGGGCGCUUCCUCAUCGUCAUGGCUAAGCUUGUGUUGGUACGAACUUGCAAGUGCGUGCGUCUCGAUCUUCCUAUUUAUAAGCGAAUUCAGCCAUCAAGGCUGGACAAGCAUGUACGUUGUUUACUCCAACUCUGAUUGGGCUUGUUAGCUUUGCCUUUUUGAAGAUGCGGGACUGCACGCCUCCGCUUAGUGCUCUAACCAGCAGCUAGCCACAAUAAAAAGUCAUUUAGAAAAGUUUUGAGUUAUCAUCAUAAAGAAAAAGUUUGUGUAGUUUUCGUCUGGAUAGAUGUGACAUUUUUCAGUUGAUCGUAGGAGAGCAACAUGCAGAAGCAUACAGUUGCCCAAGUUGUGAACAACCUGAUCACUUUCAGUAAUUCUGUUGAAUUCAUAGCAGGGUAGCAGAUGGCUGUGAGCAUGGAAUUUGUAAAUCAUGUAAUUUUUUUUAAAAUAAGAAAAAUCAUGUAAACACGUAUACAUGUUAUUUGCGUGUCCAAGAAGUUUAAUUAAGCCAUACACAGAUUUGUAGGCUACAUAAAAAAAAUCCAGCCCAAAUGCAAUAGAAAUAAGCCUAUUUUAAAUUAUGUAUUUGUCGUUUUCCCCUUUGUGUAGACUAUAUAUGAUUUUUUUUCAAAUAUAUUUUGUUGAAAUUUUGUAUGAACACACUAUACCUUUUUUAUUGAAAAUUUUGAGGUGCAAGAAUAAAGUUCUUGAUAAAAAAUAAAGAAGCCUGUACGAUGUAUUGUUGUACACAGGAAUAUCGUGGAUUCUAAACUUGAGGUUUGCAUGGAUGGAUUUUUUUUACGGAAUCUAGUUUAAAUGAGUCCUAUUGUUUCCCGUAUGAAUUCCUAUUCUAUGACUCAAACAACACAUACAGAAAAAUUUUCUAAGGAUUAGAUUCCUCCAAAAUUCUAUUAAAAGUUUAAAACCCCUUUGAAUCAAAGAAGCCUAUUCCCCCCAAAAUAAAGAAAAGAAUCAAAUGAGCUCGGGUGAACAGUAAAAUCAAAACUAAAUCAAUUUUUUUUUAAAAAAAUCCAAUUUUUUUUGGGAGAAAAAGUUCUAAGUGCUUGCAAAAAUUCGCCAUGAAAUCACAUUUCUAGAAGGCGUGGCAAAAAAAAAAAACAAAAUCAGUACUCUGAAAAAGCUACUUUCAAAAGCAUUUUGGAGCACUGAAUUUGUUUUUUUUGCCACGCUUUACAGGAAUGUGAUUUCAUGAUGAAUUUUUGCAAGCACUUAAAACUUUUGUUAAUGUUUCUCCCAAAAAAAAUUGGGAAUUUUUUGAAUUUUUUUUGAAUUUUUUUCGAUUUUACUGUUCACCAAGCUCAAAUGAGCUCGGGAGCAGAAAGGCACUUUCGAUCAAAGAAGCCUAUUUCGCAGCAAAGCUAGUGGCUGUCCUAUCGGACAGUGAUGCACCUUUAAGUACGCGGUUUCUAAUAAUCACGAUCAGUGCACGCCGUGCACAGUGCACUCAUUUCGGUUGUAGAUGUAACUUUCACAUUUCAUACACCAAUCACGAUCAGUUGCUUGUUGGCACGGGCGGAGCUCCGUAGGGGCAGACCUGGGCCAUGGCCCGCCCAGGAAUUUGACAAAAAAAGUUUUUACUACUAGUCGUCUUAGCCCAGCCCACUAGCCCACGCACGCACUGAAUAUCCCCCCAUCGGCCAUCGUCUCCUCGUCUCGCGCACGCUGCACGCACAGGCACACUCACGCCUUCCCCAAUUCCCCAUCCUCUCAGUCCCAGACUCAUGUAGGUUGUAGCCACGCCGCCGACGACUACCGACGUGGACAGGGAACACGUCCACACGGUCCACCGGAGCGCGCCGCCCGCCAUCUCUCGGAGCAACCGCCAUGGCAACGCCCGCCGGGAUCUCGCCUCGCCCCUGCCCUGCUCCCUCCUGCCGCCCAUCAUCCGCACACUUACANNNNNNNNNNNNNNNNNNNNNNNNNNNNNNNNNNNNNNNNNNNNNNNNNNNNNNNNNNNNNNNNNNNNNNNNNNNNNNNNNNNNNNNNNNNNNNNNNNNNNNNNNNNNNNNNNNNNNNNNNNNNNNNNNNNNNGCAAUAACCUGAUUUUGUUCAUUUCCAUACACCCAGUGAUCAGUCCUGCUAGUGAUAAAUAAUAGUCUGAUGAUCUGAUCUUACGCAAAUUUUAACAUAGGUAGUCGGGAAAGGAAAAUAAGACUCAGAGAAGAAGAAGAUCACUGCACAAUAAGAUGGAAGAUGAGAAUCUGGCUAAUAACUUGUUAGUUCACAUAGAUGGUGGAAUUCUAGAAAACUACAGCCACGAAGAUGUCAUUGCAGAUUUUAUAAACAAGAAGAUCGGAGAGUUGAUUGUAUGUGAGUAGGUCCAUGUCUAAUGUCUCUGACACUUUUGUAUUAUCUAACUCAAUAGUGAAACAUGGUUGAACUGUACUUUGGUACAUAUAUAUAUUAUAUAUAUACAUAUCUGCUAGCUCAAUCUUGUGACCUGGGUGCUUGUAAUAUGUCCUUAUGGGUAAGAAUUUAGAAAAAAUUGUGUUCUUCUUCAGUCUGGCCCGCCCAACUUUUUCGUUCAAGCUCCGCCACUGCUUGUUGGUGCACAUCCAAUGCUCUAGAAUAAAACAAAAAGUACUCCUAUAUACAAAACGUACUUUACCUAACCUACCGAUUGAAUCGUAUACAUAGAUGAAAAAGAAAAGACAUCCGUAGAGUCCCAAGUUACCUACCGAUUGAAUCGUAUGUAUAGAUGAAAAAGAAAAGACAUCCAUAGAGUACCAAGUUACCUACCGAUUGAAUCAUACAUAUAGACGAAAAAGAAAAGACAUGCAUAGAGUACCAAGUUAAAGACGAUAUGACCUCACAACUAGAUUGGGUUGGGUGAGUGGAGUGCCACUUUAAUCCUUGUCUGGAGCACGCGCUAUGAUAUUUCUUCAGAGGCGCUGAAGUGGGGAACAAGACUGAUAGAACAAACAACAAGUGAGAUAUUUUGAGCUUCACUAGGUUGGAGGCCUGGUGUGCUCAGAAUUUAUCAGGGUGUAUUCAGGUUGCAGCACUGCUGCCAAGGCAUUUCUCCAGCUUCGCUCUGAAGAUCUUUUGCUUUGCUUUGUUCCUCUGUUUGUUUGUAAUGAAGUUCCCGUGUUUUGUGAUGGUUGCAAGUUCCCUGUAGUCUUUAUAUAUUUGGCUCAAGGGUGCCUGAAAAUUUCAUAGUUAUGUUUAAAAAAAUGCCGUAGUUGUUAGUUUUUGGACCAUCUAUCUAAAUCUAUCAAAGACCCUGUUGCCCGAGCUAGCCAAUCAAAGUUGGGCCAUUUGCAUCAAGCUAGGUAGGAUGCGUCGCCGGAAAACCCAAAUCGCUAAUUAAGGAGUACUCUUUGCAAAGGUCACUCCUACCAUGUCGCAACUAGUGAGUUUUCCUUUUUUUGUCGAUUCGUUUAUUCAACACGUUUUAUCGGUUAAAACAUGCAUUCACAUCUUGAAUCGUUUUCUCCAUUGUAUUCCUCGCACUGAGAUCUUGAAAAUUAGAUCCGAUCUGAUAGGUUUUGAUGAACGUUUUACUUUACGAAAAAUACCGAACAAAAAACAAACCGGGAGCACAUUUUUUCCUUUCUGAAAAGGGCACAAUCGUGCCUCUCGUGUCGUUACAAAUCUUAUCUCUGUUCGUCGUUACAAAUCCUAUGAAUUGCUAUUCUAUCUUCACAACAUCCUAUACUCCCCUUGUGUCGUUACAAAUCUUAUCUCUGUUCGUCGUUUUUGCAUUGACAAUUCAGUAACAAUUGAGUUUUACCCCCUUGACUUUGUUGUGAAGGAUCUAGCCACUCGGACUCCUUAUGAGCCGCAGUAGCUACGGCCAGCUUUACUCCUUCUCCGGCGGCACCACCAACCACCAGGCGGUGCUCUCUAUGGACGUUGGAAACUUGUGGCAUCAGCGAUUAGGGCACCCCAGUGCUGCCUCCCUUUCCCGUUUGGCGAGCAGUUUUUAACCAAAUUGUAAUAAGCCAGUCCACCCCAUGGUACUUGUCAUGCAUGUCAAUUAGGCCACCAUGCUCUCCUUCCUUUUUCCAGAUUCUCUGUCAUUUACUACUUUUCCUUUUCAACUAGUGCACUAUGAUAUAUGAACCUCAACAAUUGCGAGUUUUUCCGGCUUCAAAUAUUAUUUGUUUGUCAUAGACGACUUCACUCACUUCCCUUGGAGCUUCCCGCUACACCAUAAGCCCCAUGCCGCUGCCACCCUUGAACGCUUUUACCAGUACGUGCUCAUACAAUUCCGUGUUUACAUACAGUGUGUCCAAUGUGAUAAUGGGGGCGACUUCCUCAACGUUCACCUAUGCACUUUCUGUUGGGGAACGUUGCAGAAAACAAAAAUUUUCCUACGGUUUCACCAAGAUCCAUCUAGGACUUCAUCUAGCAACGAGUAAUCGGAUUGCAUCUACGUACCUUGUAGAUCGCGAGUGGAAGCGUUCAAAGAACGGGGAUGAGGGAGUCGUACUCGACGUGAUCCAAAUCACCGGAGAUCCUAGCGCCGAACGGACGACACCUCCGCGUUCAACACACGUACGGUCAGCGUAACGUCUCCUUCCUCUUGAUCCAGCAAGGGGCAAGGAGAGGUUGAGGAAGAUGGCUCCAGCAGCAGCACGACGGCGUGGUGGUGAUGGAGCUGCAGUACUCCGGCAGGGCUUCGCCAAGCUCUAUGGAGGAGGAGGAUGUGUUGGAGAGGGAGAGGGAGGCACCAAAGGCAAAGGUAAGAGGUCCUCCAUCCUCCCCACUAUAUAUAGGGGGGCCUAGGGGGGGACGCCGGCCCUAGGAGAUGCAAUCUCCUAGGGGGGCGGCGGCCAAGGGGUGGGGGACUUGCCCCCCAAGCAAGGGGGCGUCCCCCCCCUUUAGGGUUUCCCCCACCCUAGGCGCAUGGGCCCUAGGGGAAGUGGCGCCCCAGCCCACUUUGGGCUGGAUCCCUUCCCACUUCAGCCCAUGGGGCCCUCCGGGAUAGGUGGCCCCACCCGGUGGACCCCCGGGACCCUUCCGGUGGUCCCGGUACAAUACCGGUGACCCCGAAACUUGUCCCGAUAGCCGAAAUAGCACUUCCUAUAUAUAAUUAUUUACCUCCGGACCAUUCCGGAACUCCUCGUGAUGUCCGGGAUCUCAUCCGGGACCCCGAACAACAUCCGGGUUACUGCAUAUACAUAUCCCUAUAACCCUAGCGUCACCGAACCUUAAGUGUGUAGACCCUACGGGUUCGGGAGACAUGUAGACAUGACCGAGAUCGCUCUCCGGUCAAUAAACAAUAGCGGGAUCUGGAUACCCAUGUUGGCUCCCACAUGCUCCUCGAUGAUCUCAUCGGAUGAACCACGAUGUCGAGGAUUCAAGCAACCCCGUAUACAAUUCCCUUCGUCAGUCGGUAUGUUACUUGCCCGAGAUUCGGUCGUCGGUAUCCCAAUACCUCGUUCAAUCUCGUUACCGGCAAGUCACUUUACUCUUACCGUAAUGCAUGAUCCCGUGACCAGACACUUGGUCACUUUGAGCUCAUUAUGAUGAUGCAUUACCGAGUGGGCCCAGUGAUACCUCUUCGUCAUACGGAGUGACAAAUUCCAGUCUUGAUCCGUGUCAACCCAACAGACACUUUCGGAGAUACCCGUAGUAUACCUUUAUAGUCACCCAGUUACUUGUGACGUUUGGUACACCCAAAGCACUCCUACGGUAUCCGGGAGUUACACGAUCUCAUGGUCUAAGGAAAAGAUACUUGACAUUGGAAAACUCUAGCAAAUGAACUAUACGAUCUUGUGCUAUGUUUAGGAUUGGGUCUUGUCCAUCACAUCAUUCUCCUAAUGAUAUGAUCUCGUUAUCAAUGACAUUCAAUGUCCAUAGUCAGGAAACCAUGACUAUCUUUGAUCAACGAGCUAGUCAACUAGAGGCUUACUAGGGACAUGUUGGUGUCUAAGUAUUCACACAUGUAUUACAAUUUCCGGAUAACACAAUUAUAGCAUGAAUAAAAGACAAUUAUCAUGAACAAGGAAAUAUAAUAAUAAUGCUUUUAUUAUUGCCUCUAGGGCAUAUUUCCAACAGUCUCCCACUUGCACUAGAGUCAAUAAUCUAGUUACAUUGUGAUGAAUCGAACACCCAUGGAAUUCUGGUGUUGAUCAUGUUUUGCUCUAGGGAGAGGUUUAGUCAACGGAUCUGCUACAUUCAGGUCCAUAUGUACUUUACAAAUAUCUAUGUCUCCAUCUUGAACAUUUUCACGAAUGGAGUUGAAGCGACGCUUGAUGUGCCUCGUCUUCUUGUGAAAUCUGGGCUCCUUGGCAAGUGCAAUAGCUCCAUGUUGUCACAGAAGAGCUUCAUAGGCCCCGAUGCAUUGGGUAUGACUCCUAGGUCGGUGAUGAACUCCUUCACCCAAAUUGCUUCAUGCGCUGCCUCCGAGGCUGCCAUGUACUCCGCUUCACAUGUAGAUCCCGCCACGACGCUCUUCUUGCAACUGCACCAGCUUACUGCCCUACCAUUCAAAAUAUACACGUAUCCGGUUUGUGACUUAGAGUCAUCCAGAUCUGUGUCGAAGCUAGCAUCGACGUAACCAUUUACGACGAGCUCUUCGUCACCUCCAUAGACGAGAAACAUUUCCUUAGUCCUUUUCAGGUACUUCAGGAUAUUCUUGACCGCUGUCCAGUGUUCCUUGCCGGGAUUACUUUGGUACCUACCUACCAAACUUACGGCUAGGUUUACAUCAGGUCUGGUACACAGCAUGGCAUACAUAAUAGAACCUAUGGCUGAGGCAUAGGGGAUGAUACUCAUCUCUUCUAUAUCUUCUGCCGUGGUCGGACAUUGAGCUGAGCUCAAUUUCAUACCUUGCAACACAGGCAAGAACCCCUUCUUAGACUGAUCCAUAUUGAAUUUCUUCAAUAUCUUAUCAAGGUAUGUGCUUUGUGAAAGACCUAUGAGGCGUCUUGAUCUAUCUCUGUAGAUCUUGAUGCCUAAUAUAUAAGCAGCUUCUCCAAGGUCCUUCAUUGAAAAACUCUUAUUCAAGUAGGCCUUAAUGCUGUCCAAAAGUUCUAUAUCAUUUCCCAUCAAAAGUAUGUCAUCUACAUAUAAUAUGAGAAAUGCUACAGAGCUCCCACUCACUUUCUUGUAAACACAGGCUUCUCCAUAAGUCUGCGUAAACCCAAACGCUUUGAUCAUCUCAUCAAAGCGAAUGUUCCAACUCCGAGAUGCUUGCACCAGCCCAUAAAUCGAGCGUUGGAGCUUGCACACCUUGUCAGCAUACUUAGGAUCGACAAAACCUUACGGCUGCAUCAUAUACCAUUCUUCCUUAAGGAAACCAUUAGGAAUGCCGUUUUGACGUCCAUUUGCCAUAUUUCAUAAUCAUAGAAUGCGGCAAUUGCUAACAUGAUUCGGACGGACUUCAGCUUCGCUACCGGUGAGAAAGUCUCAUCGUAGUCAACCCCUUGAACUUGUCGAUAACCCUUAGCGACAAGCCGAGCUUUAUAGAUGGUCACACUACCAUCCGCGUCUGUCUUCUUCUUAAAGAUCCAUUUAUUUUCUAUGGCUUGCCGCUCUACGGCCAAGUCAGUCAAAGUCCAUACUUCGUUUUCAUACAUGGAUCCUAUCUCGGAUUUCAUGGCUUCCAGCCAUUUGUCAGAAUCCGGGCCCGCCAUCGCUUCUUCAUAGUUUGAAGGUUCACCGUUGUCUAACAACAUGAUUUCCAAGACAGGGUUGCCGUACCAAUCUGGUGCGGAACGUGUCCUUGUGGACCUUCGAAUUUCAGUAGGAGCUUGAUCAGAAGUAUCUUGAUCAUCAUCAUUAACUUCCUCUCUAGUCGGUGCAGGCACCUCAGGAACAUUUUCUUGAGUUGCGCCAUUUUCCGGUUCAAGAGGUAAUACUUCAUCAAGUUCUACUUUCCUCCCAUUUACUUCUUUCGAGAGAAACUCCUUCUCUAGAAAGGAUCCAUUCUUGGCAACAAAGAUCUUGCCUUCGGAUCUGAGGUAGAAGGUAUACCCAAUAGUUUCUUUAGGGUAUCCUAUGAAGACGCAUUUUUCCGACUUGGGUUCGAGCUUUUCAGGUUGAAGUUUCUUGACAUAAGCAUCGCAUACCCAAACUUUUAGAAACGAUAGCUUAGCUUUCUUCCCAAACCAUAAUUCAUACGGUGUCGUCUCAACGGAUUUCGACGGAGCCCUAUUUAAAGUGAAUGCGGGAGUCUCUAAAGCAUAGCCCCAAAAAGAUAGCGGUAAAUCGGUAAGAGACAUCAUAGAUCACACCAUAUCUAAUAGAGUGCGAUUACGACGUUCGGACACACCAUUACGCUGAGGUGUUCCAAGCGGCGUGAGUUGUGAAACUAUUCCAUAUUUUCUUAAGUGUGUGCCAAACUCGUGACUCAAGUAUUCUCCUUCACGAUCUGAUCGCAGGAACUUGAUUUUCCUGUCACGUUGAUUCUCAACCUCACUCUGAAAUUCCUUGAACUUUUCAAAGGUCUCAGACUUGUGUUUCAUUAAGUAGACAUACCCAUAUAUACUCAAGUCAUCAGUGAGGGUGAGAACAUAACGCCACCGUGAGCCUCAACAGUCAUUGGACCGCACACAUCAGUAUGUAUGAUUUCCAAUAAGUUGGUUUCUCGCUCCAUUGUUCCUGAGAACGGAGUCUUGGUCAUUUUACCCAUGAGGCAUGAUUCGCACAUGUCAAAUGAUUCGUAAUCAAGAGACUCUAAAAGUCCAUCAGCAUGGAGCUUCUUCAUGCGUUUGACACCUAUGUGACCAAGGCGGCAGUGCCACAAGUAUGUGGGACUAUCAUUAUCAAUCUUACAUCUUUUGGUACUCACACUAUGAACAUGUGUAGCAUUACGCUCGAGAUUCAUUAAGAAUAAACCAUUCACCAUCGGAGCAUGACCAUAAAACAUAUCUCUCAUAUAAAUAGAACAACCAUUAUUCUCGGAUUUAAAUGAGUAGCCAUCUCGAAUUAAACGAGAUCCUGAUACAAUGUUCAUGCUCAAAGCUAGCACUAAAUAACAAUUAUUAAGGUUUAAAACUAAUCCCGAAGGUAAAUGUAGAGGUAGCGUGCCGACGGCGAUCACAUUGACCUUGGAACCAUUCCCGACGCGCAUCGUCACCUCGUCCUUCGCCAGUCUCCGCUUAUUCCGCAGCUCCUGUUUUGAGUUACAAAUGUGAGCAACCGCACCGGUAUCAAAUACCCAGGAGCUACUACGAGUACUGGUAAGGUACACAUCAAUUACAUGUAUAUCACAUAUACCUUUCGUGAUGCCGGCCUUCUUGUCCGCUAAGUAUUUGGGGCAGUUUCGCUUCCAGUGACCACUUCCCUUGCAAUAAAAGCACUUAGUCUCGGGCUUGGGUCCAUUCUUUGGCUUCUUCCCGGCAGCUUGCUUGCCGGGCGCGGCAACUCCCUUGUCGUCCUUCUUGAAGGCUUUCUUACCCUUGCCCUUCUUGAACUUAGUGGUUUUAUUCACCAUCAACACUUGAUGUUCCUUUUUGACUUCUACCUCAGCUGAUUUCAGCAUUGCAAAUACGUCAGGAAUGGUCUUUUCCAUCCCCUGCAUAUUGAAGUUUAUCACAAAGCUCUUGUAGCUCGGUGGAAGCGACUGAAGGAUUCUGUCAAUGACCGUGUCAUCCGGGAGAUUAACUCCCAGCUGAGUCAAGCGGUUAUGCAACCCAGACAUAAUGAGUAUGUGCUCACUGACAGAACUGUUUUCCUCCAUCUUACAGCUGAAGAACUUGUCGGAGACUUGAUAUCUCUCGACCCGGGCAUGAGCUUGGAAAACCAUUUUCAGCUCUUCGAACAUCUCAUAUGCUCCGUGUCUCUCAAAACGCUUUUGGAGCCCCGGCUCUAAGCUGUAAAGCAUGCCGGACUGAACGAGGGAGUAGUCAUCGGUACGUGCCUGCCAAGCGUUCAUAACGUCUUGUUCUGCAGGGAGAACAGGUGUGUCACCUGGCGGUGCUUGUAGGACAUAAUCUUUCUUGGCAGCUAUGAGGAUGAUCCUCAGGUUUCGGACCCAGUCCGUGUAGUUGCUGCCAUCGUCUUUCAGCUUGGUUUUCUCUAGGAACGCGUUGAAGUUGAGGACUACGUUGGCCAUUUGAUCUACAAGACAUAUUGUAAAUUUUUUAGACUAAGUUCAUGAUAAUUAAGUUCAUCUAAUCAAAUUAUUCAAUGAACUCCCACUUAGAUAGACAUCCCUCCAGUAAUCUAAGUAUAACAUGAUCCGAGUUAACUAGGACGUGUCCGAUCAUCACGUAAGACGGACUAGUCAACAUCGGUGAACAUCUUCAUGUUGAUCGUAUCUUCUAUAUGACUCAUGCUCGACCUUUCGGUCUUCUGUGUUCCGAGGCCAUGUCUGUACAUGCUAGGCUCGUCAAGUCAACCUAAGUGUUUGCAUGUGUAAAUCUGUCUUACACCCGUUGUAUGUGAACGUUGGAAUGAAUCUAACACCCGAUCAUCACGUGGUGCUUCGAAACAACGAACUGUCGCAAUGGUGCACAGUUAGGAGAAACACUUUCUUGAAAUUAUUAUGAGGGAUCAUCUUAUUUACUAUCGUUGUUCUAAGUAAACAAGAUGCAGAAACAUGAUAAACAUCACAUGCAAUCAAAUAGUGACAUGAUAUGGCCAAUAUCACAUAGCUCCUUUGAUCUCCAUCUUGGGGCUCCAUGAUCAUCUUGUCACCAGCAUGACACCAUGAUCUCCAUCAUCAUGAUCUCCAUCACAGUGUCUCCAUGAAGUUGCUCGCCAACUAUUACUUCUACUACUAUGGCUAACACGUUUAGCAAUAAAGUAAAGUAAUUUACAUGGCGUUUCUCAAUGAAACGCAGGUCAUACAAAAAAUAAAGACAACUCCUAUGGCUCCUGCCGGUUGUCAUACUCAUCGACAUGCAAGUCGUGAUUCCUAUUACAAUAGCAUGAGCAUCUCAUACAUCACAUGUAUAUCAUUCAUCAUUCAUCACAACUUUGGCCAUAUCACAUCACAGAACACUUGCUGCAAAAACAAGUUAGACGUCCUCUAAUUGUUGUUGCAAGUUUUACGUGGCUGCAAUAGGGUUCUAGCAAGAACGUUUUCUUACCUACGUGAAAGCCACAACAUGAUUUGUCAACUUCUAUUUACCCUUCAUAAGGACCCUUUUCAUCGAAUCCGCUCCAACUAAAGUGGGAGAGACAGACACCCGCCAGCCACCUUAUGCAACUUGUGCAUGUUAGUCGGUGGAACCGGUCUCACGUAAGCGUACGUGUAAGGUUGGUCCGGGCCGCUUCAUCCCACAAUACCGUUGAAGCAAGAUAAGACUAGUAGCGGCAAGAAAGUUGACAACAUCUACGCCCACAACAAAUUGUGUUCUACUCGUGCAAAGAGAACUACGCAUAGACCUAGCUCAUGAUGCCACUGUUGGGGAACGUUGCAGAAAACAAAAUUUUUCCUACGGUUUCACCAAGAUCCAUCUAGGAGUUCAUCUAGCAACGAGUGAUCGGAUUGCAUCUACGUACAUUGUAGAUCGCGAGCGGAAGCGUUCAAAGAACGGGGAUGAGGGAGUCGUACUCGACGUGAUCCAAAUCACCGGAGAUCCUAGCGCCGAACGGACGGCACCUCCGCGUUCAACAGACGUACGGUCAGCGUAACGUCUCCUUCCUCUUGAUCCAGCAAGGGGCAAGGAGAGGUUGAGGAAGAUGGCUCCAGCAGCAGCACGAUGGCGUGGUGGUGAUGGAGCUGCAGUACUCCGGCAGGGCUUCGCCAAGCUCUAUGGAGGAGGAUGUGUUGGAGAGGGAGAGGGAGGCACCAAAGGCAAAGGUAAGAGGUCCUCCAUCCUCCCCACUAUAUAUAGGGGGGCCUGGGGGGGGGGGCGCCGGCCCUAGGAGAUGCAAUCUCCUAGGGGGGCGGCGGCCAAGGGGUGGGGGACUUGCCCCCAAGCAAGGGGGCGCCCCCCCCUUUAGGGUUUCCCCCACCCUAGGCGCAUGGGCCCUAAGGGAAGUGGCGCCCCAGCCCACUUUGGGCUGGAUCCCUUCCCACUUCAGCCCAUGGGGCNNNNNNNNNNNNNNNNNNNNNNNNNNNNNNNNNNNNNNNNNNNNNNNNNNNNNNNNNNNNNNNNNNNNNNNNNNNNNNNNNNNNNNNNNNNNNNNNNNNNNNNNNNNNNNNNNNNNNNNNNNNNNNNNNNNNNNNNNNNNNNNNNNNNNNNNNNNNNNNNNNNNNNNNNNNNNNNNNNNNNNNNNNNNNNNNNNNNNNNNNNNNNNNNNNNNNNNNNNNNNNNNNNNNNNNNNNNNNNNNNNNNNNNNNNNNNNNNNNNNNNNNNNNNNNNNNNNNNNNNNNNNNNNNNNNNNNNNNNNNNNNNNNNNNNNNNNNNNNNNNNNNNNNNNNNNNNNNNNNNNNNNNNNNNNNNNNNNNNNNNNNNNNNNNNNNNNNNNNNNNNNNNNNNNNNNNNNNNNNNNNNNNNNNNNNNNNNNNNNNNNNNNNNNNNNNNNNNNNNNNNNNNNNNNNNNGGAAGAUGGCUCCAGCAGCAGCACGAUGGCGUGGUGGUGAUGGAGCUGCAGUACUCCGGCAGGGCUUCGCCAAGCUCUAUGGAGGAGGAUGUGUUGGAGAGGGAGAGGGAGGCACCAAAGGCAAAGGUAAGAGGUCCUCCAUCCUCCCCACUAUAUAUAGGGGGGCCUAGGGGGGGGGGCGCCGGCCCUAGGAGAUGCAAUCUCCUAGGGGGGCGGCGGCCAAGGGGUGGGGGACUUGCCCCCAAGCAAGGGGGCGCCCCCCCCUUUAGGGUUUCCCCCACCCUAGGCGCAUGGGCCCUAAGGGAAGUGGCGCCCCAGCCCACUUUGGGCUGGAUCCCUUCCCACUUCAGCCCAUGGGGCCCUCCGGGAUAGGUGGCCCCACCCGGUGGACCCCCGGGACCCUUCCGGUGGUCCCGGUACAAUACCGGUGACCCCGAAACUUGUCCCGAUAGCCGAAAUAGCACUUCCUAUAUAUAAUUCUUUACCUCCGGACCAUUCUGGAACUCCUCGUGAUGUCCGGGAUCUCAUCCGGGACCCCGAACAACAUUCGGGUUACUGCAUAUACAUAUCCCUAUAACCCUAGCGUCACCGAACCUUAAGUGUGUAGACCCUACAGGUUCGGGAGACAUGUAGACAUGACCGAGAUCGCUCUCCGGUCAAUAACCAACAGCGGGAUCUGGAUACCCAUGUUGGCUCCCACAUGCUCCUCGAUGAUCUCAUCGGAUGAACCACGAUGUCGAGGAUUCAAGCAACCCCGUAUACAAUUCCCUUCGUCAGUCGGUAUGUUACUUGCCCGAGAUUCGAUCGUCGGUAUCCCAAUACCUCGUUCAAUCUCGUUACCGGCAAAUCACUUUACUCUUACCGUAAUGCAUGAUCCCGUGACCAGACACUUGGUCACUUUGAGCUCAUUAUGAUGAUGCAUUACCGAGUGGGCCCAGUGAUACCUCUCCGUAAUACGGAGUGACAAAUCCCAGUCUUGAUCCGUGUCAACCCAACAGACACUUUCAGAGAUACCCGUAGUAUACCUUUAUAGUCACCCAGUUACGUUGUGACGUUUGGUACACCCAAAGCACUCCUACGGUAUCCGGGAGUUACACGAUCUCAUGGUCUAAAGGAAAAGAUACUUGACAUUGGAAAACUCUAGCAAACGAACUAUACGAUCUUGUGCUAUGUUUAGGAUUGGGUCUUGUCCAUCACAUCAUUCUCCUAAUGAUGUGAUCUCGUUAUCAAUGACAUCCAAUGUCCAUAGUCAGGAAACCAUGACUAUCUGUUGAUCAACGAGCUAGUCAACUAGAGGCUUACCGGGGACAUGUUGGUGUCUAAGUAUUCACACAUGUAUUAUGAUUUCCGGAUAACACAAUUAUAGCAUGAAUAAAAGACAAUUAUCAUGAACAAGGAAAUAUAAUAAUAAUGCUUUUAUUAUUGCCUCUAGGGCAUAUUUCCAACACUUUCCUCUACGAGGCAUCACCCUUUGUCACUCUUGCCCGCACACCUCCCCUCAAAACGAGAAGGCCGAGCACGGCAUUCGCUCCAUGAACGACAUUAUGCGCACACUCCUCCAAGCUCACAUGCCACCUUCGUUUUGGGUCGACGCCCUCAACACCACCACAUACUUACUGAAUUUCGCCCAUCCCGAGCCAUCGACCACAUCCCACCCUACUACGCCCUCUUUGGUACCUCUCCAGAUUACAGCUCCCUACGCACGUUCGUCUGCCUCUGCUACCAAAACCUCUAUGCCACUAUGCCCUACAAAUUAGCUCCCCGCUCCGUUCGCUGCAUUCUCCUCGGUAUGCCACUUGAGCAUAAAGGCUACAGGUGCCUGGACCUCUCCAAUCGAUGACUCAUUACCUCUAGACAUGUCAUUUUUUGACGAAAACACCUUCCCAUUCAUUGAUGCCCCGAGCGGCCACACGCCUGCACGAGCAGGGUCUGCUCCGGCCGCAGAAAAUCAAGCACCCACCUCCAUCCCCCUCGGAUCACCCACUCCACCAGUCACGCACCACCUCCCAUCCCCAAGCAUGCAGCCCGACCCCACCUCCCAAACCCAUGCAGUGAUUCACCCAUCACCUGCAUGCGGCGCGCCUCCCCUCGUGUCGACUCCACGCCUAGAUGCAGUAGCCCGCCACUUACGCCUCUGCAUGCAGCGCCCCUCACUCUAUGCCGCCCACGCAUGUAGUACGAUCCCACCCUGAGUCGUGCCGAUUUUACCUGCCAAAAACUUGCAUGCCAGGCGCACCUGCGCAAAGUCCAGUUUUCUGCAGCCAAAGAAGCUUCUGACCGUCGCUACCUCUCCCGCCCCCAUCUCUCCUAUUCCCGCAAACUACAAAGAAGCUCUCAAAGACCCCAACUGGUACAAUGUUAUGCUUGAAGAAUUUAACGCUUUGUUGCAAAGCAAAACGUGGUCUUUGGUUGCUUGCUCUGCAGGUGUCAACUUGGUGUCUGGGAAGUGGAUAUUCCGCCACAAGCUUCAUCUCGACGGCUCCCUCGCUCGGUACAAGGCGUGUUGGGUACUUCGUGGCUUCACAAAGCAGCCUGGCAUUGACUACGGGGAGACCUUCAGCCCCGUGUGGUGAAACCGGCCACCAUCCGCGUCAUCCUCAGUGUCGCCAUCAGUAACCGUUGGGCCAUUAACCAGCUGGACAUGAAGAACCCCUUCCUCCACGGCACUCUCGAUGAGCUCGUCUACAGUCAGCCGCCGGCUAGCUUCGUCGACACCGCACACCCCUCGACCAUGUGCAAACUCCAAAAGUCCUUGUAUGACUUAAGCAGGCUCCUCGUGCGUGGUUCCAGCGGUUCACCACAUUCCUUCUCUCGCUCGGCUUCACGGUGUCAAGAUCCGACACAUCCCUAUUUAUUCUCCGCCGUGGCACCUCAGUGGCAUACCUCUUGCUAUAUGUUGACGAUAUCAUUCUCACCGCUAGCUCCUCCGGGUUACUCACCAUCGUUACCGCCGCUCUCACCUCUGAGUUCUCCAUGGCGAACCUCAGCUCGCUCCACCACUUCCUUGGCGUCAAUGUUCAGUGCAGCCCCACUGGUUUGUUUCUUUCCGAGCAACAGUAUGCGCUCGAGAUCCUUGAUCGCGCCUCCAUGCUCAACUGCAAACCCAUCACUACCCCCGUCGACACCAAAGCAAAGCUCGCCACCUCGCCACCUCAGCUAACGACUCUGCUCCUGACCCAUCCCUCUUCCAUAGUCUCGCCGGUGCCCUGCAGUACCUCACGCUCAUGCGCCCGGACAUAGCCUACACCGUCCAGCAGGUGUGCCUCGUCAUGCACUCGCCGCGCAUGCUACACGCCGCCCUCCUCAAAUGUAUCAUGCGUUAUCUGCGUGGUACCACCCACCUUGGCCUUCAUAUUCGUCUGUCUGCUUCAUCCCAGCUCAUGUCUUACACAGACGCCGACUGGGCCGGUUGUCCCGACACCGUACCUGACGCUCGAUGUCUGGCUACUACAUGUACAUCGGUGACAACCUCGUCUCCUGGUCUUCGAAGCGACAAACCACCUUGUCGCGAUCGAGUGCGGAGGCAGAGUACCGAGCUGUCGCCAACGCGGUCACGGAGUCGUGUUGGCUACGAAGCUUCUUCAGGAUAUCGGAUGGCCUCCAUGGUGCUACCACUGUUUACUGAGACAACGUAUCGGUGACUGAAGGAAAUAUGCCCUAGAGGCAAUAAUAAAGUUAUUAUUUAUUUCCUUAUAUCAUGAUAAAUGUUUAUUAUUCAUUCUAGAAUUGUAUUAACGGAAACAUAAUACAUGUGUGAAUACAUAGACAAACAGAGUGUCACUAGUAUGCCUCUACUUGACUAGCUCGUUGAUCAAAGAUGGUUAUGUUUCCUAACCAUAGACAUGAGUUGUCAUUUGAUUAACGGGAUCACAUCAUUAGGAGAAUGAUGUGAUUGACUUGACCCAUUCCGUUAGCAUAGCACUUGAUCGUUUAGUUUGUUGUUAUUGCUUUCUUCAUGACUUAUACAUGUUCCUAUGAUUAUGAGAUUAUGCAACUCCCGUUUACCAGAGGAACACUUUGUGUGCUACCAAACGUCACAACGUAACUGGGUGAUUAUAAAGGUGCUCUACAGGUGUCUCCGAAGGUACUUGUUGGGUUGGCGUAUUUCGAGAUUAGGAUUUGUCACUCCGAUUGUCGGAGAGGUAUCUCUAGGCCCUAUCGGUAAUGCACAUCACUUAAGCCUUGCAAGCAUUGCAACUAAUGAGUUAGUUGCGGGAUGAUGUUUUACGGAACGAGUAAAGAGACUUGCCGGUAACGAGAUUGAACUAGGUAUUGAGAUACCGACGAUCGAAUCUCGGACAAGUAACAUACCGAUGACAAAGGAAAUAACGUAUGUUGUUAUGCGGUCUGACCGAUAAAGAUCUUCGUAGAAUAUGUGGGAGCCAAUAUGAGCAUCCAGGUUCCGCUAUUGGUUAUUGACCGGAGACAUGUCUCGGUCAUGUCUACAUAGUUCUCGAACCUGUAGGGUCCGCACGCUUAAAGUUUCGGUGACGAUUGUAUUAUGAGUUUAUGUGAUUUGAUGUACCGAAGGUAGUUUGGAGUCCCGGAUGAGAUCGGGGACAUGACGAGGAGUCUCAAAAUGGUCGAGACGUAAAGAUCGAUAUAUUGGACGACUAUAUUCGGACAUCGGAAAGGUUCCGAGUGAUUCGGGUAUUUUCGGGAGUACCGGGAGUUACGGGAAUACGAGGAAGAAGUAAUGGGCCUCAUGGACCAAGUGGUGGAAGAGAGGAGGCAGGGCGCGCGGCCCUCCUAGCCCAAACCGAAUUGGACUAGGGGGCCGGCCCCCCUUUCCUCCUUUUCCUCCUUCUCCUUCCUUCUCCUUCUCCUCCUUCCUUUCCUCCUCCUAGUAGGAGUAGGAAAGGGGAGUCCUACUCCUACUAGGAGGAGGACUCCUCCUCCUGGCGCGCCCAUAGAGGGCCGGUCGGCCUCCCCCCUUGCUCCUUUAUAUACAGGGGCAGGGGGGCACCUCUAGACACACAAGUUGAUCUUCGUGAUCGUUCCUUAGCCGUGUGUGGUGCCCCCUUCCACCAUAUUCCACCUCGGUCAUAUCGUAGCGGUGCUUAGGCGAAGCCCUGCGUCAGUAGAACAUCAUCACCGUCAUCACGCCGUCGUGCUGACGAAACUCUCCCUCAACACUCGGCUGGAUCGGAGCUCGAGGGACGUCACCGAGUUGAACGUGUGAGAACUCGGAGGUGCCGUACGUUCGGUACUUGGAUCGGUCGGAUCGGGAAGACGUACGACUACUUCCUCUACGUUGUGUCAACACUUCCGUUGCUGGUCUACGAGGGUACGUAGACGACACUCUCCCCUCUUAUUGCUAUGCAUCACCAUGUUCUUGCGUGUGCGUAGGAAAUUUUUUGAAAUUACUACGUUAUCCAACAAUGACGUACCUCUCCACCAACCCGGUACAACACCAACGCACCAAGCACGUGGAGAUUGAUCUUCAUUUCGUGCGCGACCGCGUUGUCUUCGGAGAUGUUCGUGUUCUGCAUGUUCCGGCAACCUCCCAGUUUGCCGACGUUUUCACCAAGGGGAUACCAACCGGCGUCUUGACAGAGUUCCGGUCCAGCCUCAAUGUCGUCGAAGACCCCGUUGCGGCUGUGGGGGGCUGCUGGAAUUGUAAAACGCCUCCUGCAUGUACAUUACCGGGUCCCUCGGCUGGACAGAUCGGCUCGCGCAAGUAGCAUGGGACACCUGCGUCUGUUACACACGAUCCCCUUCUCCGUUGCUUGUAGCUGCUGUACCUAGGCGUAUAUAUAUAACUCUGUACAAUCUGGAAUAGACACGGUGAAGAUCACCUUUCAACUGUUCGCACUGUGCGGCCAAACCUUGUUUGGCUGGGACUGACAAAUGAAAAUGAUGCACCCGAGCACAUCCAGAAGGAUCUGAACGCUCGCAGUCCAAACCAGCUUAUCGGCAUUGGUACAGAGUUGAGGCAAAACCGAGCAGUGAAGCAAGCUCCAGCAUUUUCAACAUGAAGGAAACGAAAAAGACGAAACAGGCUCCAACAUUCUCGUCAAAAAAGAUAAGAAAAGGAAAAAAGAAACAGGCUCCAGCAUUCUUGACACAAAAGAAAUGAAGAAGGAAAACGAAACAGGCUCAGGCAUUCUUGACACAAAAGAAAAGAAAAAGGAAAAGGAGAAAGGCUCCAAUAUUCUUGACAAAAUAGAGAAGCAAAAGAAAAAGGAAUCAGGCACAAGCAUCCUCGACACAGAAGAAAAGAAAAGGGAAAAGGAAAUUGGAUCCAGCAUUCUCGAUAAAAAGGAAGAGAAACAGGAAACAGGUUCAACCAUUCUCGACAAAAAGGAAAAGAAAAAGAAAACAGGCUCCGACAUUUUGGACAAAAGAGAAAAGAACAAGGAAACGAAAACAGGCUCCAGCAUUGAUCUCGACAAGAAAGAAAAGAAAAAAAUUUGAAAAGCAAGCUCCGUCAGAACGGUAACAGUAGCACCAAUGCUAAAGAAGAGCAAAUUGAACAGUAGCACCAAGGUGAAGGAAGCUCAAGACCGAUGAGAUGUCCUGGUUUCUAUAUAUCCAAUUAAUAUACCAUAUUUUAAUUAUUGUAACAAUAUGAUUGUAUUUUUUGUGAUGUAAUGAGUCGUUUGAUUCGAACCUCUGUUUGUUCAGUUUCUGCUUGCUGCUGUUGUAAUCACAAACCGUCAUGUCAAAUAAAUGGAGUGAAUAGCAAAAAACUACCAUAUUACGGGCUAUCGUUCCGGAAAACUAUCGCUUGUUUUAAUUUUUCAAAAAACUACCACAAAAGUGGCUGGCUGUUCCAAAAAACCCAAGUGGCCGAACGGUUAAGUUUUAACUGGGGUUAUGACAUGUGGGGCCCGCCCGUCAGGGUUUUGUCGGCCACAGUGCUCACGGCGCGCGGGUGACGGCCGUUAGGGCGCACGGCCCGUCCCGACGAGGUCAAAAUGGAUCCGGCCCUCACUCUGUCUCCCUCUCGCUCACUCACUCUCUCCCCCCUCACUCUCACUCUCCCCCCUCGCUCUGUUUCCCCUGGCCGAGCUCUCCAUCGUCGCUGACCACCUCAGUUCCUCGUCGCCGGCCAGGAUGCCUUCUUGGAAUGAUGGGGAUGAGAGCUCCGACGAUAGCAUGGGGGGCAACCUGAUGGACAUGGAGUACUUUGUAAGCCUCAUCGUCCUCCUCUCUGUCAUUAUCUAGGGUUAGGGUUGAAUCGAUUUGGGAAUGAGGGUUGAUGAGCUGUAUAUUUGUAUGCAUGGAUUCAUUUGGUUUGGUUAUCUAUUAGUUUUGAUCUAGGGUAUGGAUGGCACUGUGAUGUCUGAUCUGACCUUGAGCAAGGCAAAGCUUGACUCAAGUUGAACUAGUUGAUGCAUUGGUUCUGAUCUACCUUUUACUGCAUGUAGGACACACCUGACACCAUCCCUGAGCCACUCUGGUGUGGUGCUCCCAUGGAGGAAGUUGCCAAGUGUACUCUGCAUGAUAUGAAGCCUAGGAAGUGUGUUGCUUUUGAAGGUGCUAAGACUGGGAGGAGGUUCUAUGGAUGCCCUGUUCAGGUGAGUAAUUGAGUAUCCUGGGUGGAUUCAGUUAUGCCUAGUGGAUUCAGUUAUUCCUAGUGGUUACUGAAUUUGUACAUUAACUCUAUUUGAACUGAAUUUAGUACUGAAUUUAUGGUUACAUGUCCUCCUUGUGUACCAACCCUCUUUUUGAAUUGAAGUUAGAACUGAAUUUCUGCAUUUUCUGAAGUAUGUGUUCUCUGAUCAAACUACAGGGAGGUGUGAAUUGUGGUGUAGUUCAGUGGGUUGAUCCUGCCUGGCCUGAUGUACUUAAGAACUGCCUCAUCAAGUUGUGGGAAAUGUUCCAUGAGCAAAACCUUGGAAGGUUUCAAGACAAGCAUGCAUAUGAGGAUGAGGUUGCCAAGUUGAAGAAGGACUAUGAUCUGCUCUGCACUGAGUAUCAUAAAAUGGUUGAUGAUGUUAGCAAGAUGUUUGACUGGCAUGAUGGUGUUGGCAAGAUUGACUACCAAAAAGCAAUGGAUGCUGGGAAAUUUGAGAAGCAGAAGGAAGAGCUAGAGCUGGAGAUGAAGAUGGAGAAGCUAAGGCUAGCAAAAGAACAGAGGUGUAUCCUUCAGGCCCAGGCAGACAUAAUUCACAACACCAGGAAGGCAAUGAAAGAGAUAAAGGUGGACAGGGAUCUUUUUGCACAAGAGAAGACAAAGCUUGAGAAAGUAGUUGCUGAUCUGCUAAAUGCUGGCCAUGGGAGCAAGGAAAAGCUUGAGAAAAUCAAGGCCAUACUGGAGGCUUGAAGAUUUGGACAAUGGUGGUUAAGUAAGUAAGGUGGCCUACACAUAUAACAGGCCUUGCAAGAUGAUGGUAGGAGUAUAUUUUGUGCAGUCCUAUAUGAACUAUUUAAGUUAUGGUAACUAGAGUGGUGGAGAACCUUUGCUAAGUCUGGCUUAUGUUAUUGUACUGUUAAGAACCUAUCUAUCUUAAGUAAUGCAGUGAAGAACUGUUUUAUUUCUUUAGGUUGUUUUCCUGAAAGUAGCAAUGCUGAACUAGUAUAUUUUUGGGCCUAAAACCAUUAUGUACACAUUGUGGGCCUAGACUGGGCUGUUUUAUUACUCCACCUACCUACCACCAACCAUUAGUAGUCUAUAAAGCCCACCCCUUGAGUGAAACCGCAGUCAAUCCCCCCAUCCCCACCCUUCUCAACCCCCCAGCCGCCAAAGAAACCCUAGAAUCCAAGGGAGAGAUGGAUCCUGGAGAGGUCAUAGAUGGAGAAGAAGAGGUGCCCAGACAAGCCAGGCGCAGAGAUGCAAGGAGGAGGGCGAGAAGGCAACUUGCUGAGAUGAUCCUUGCAACACGCAACCGCAAGGACAUAAAGCAGUUCCUGGAGGCAUUCCCCCCUGGUUCCAACCCUAGUGAUGAUGAUAUCAUCUACUGGGCAAGGAGGAGGGCAAAUUUCCAUCCCUUUUAGGUCACUAGGCAAAGGUGGACUAGGAUUUUGUACCCAUGAUGCUGCUGUUAUGUUUCUUUGUUCCUAGAUCUGUCUUUCUAUCUAUGUGAUGUUUGAAGUUGGUGUAAGAACAAUGUUGAAUGAGCUAUGUAUGUGACGAAUCAAGUUGUCCAUGAUGCAAUGCAAUGUAUGAAGCUGGUGAAAGAAAAAUGUUGAAUGAUCUAUCUAUGUGAUGAAUCAAUCUGUCUAUGAUGCAAUUUAUGAGUGAAUCUUUUAUCUAUAUUUGUAUGUAUGAAUGAAUUGAUCUGGUGAUCUUGAUGUUUUAAGUUAGAUAUGUUAUGGUUUGUUCAGAUGGCCAUAUCUUGUUGUUUUAGGUUUGAUCUCUUAGGGUUUGGUGCCUAGAUGGGAAAAUCUUGAUGUUUUAGCUUUGAUAUGUUAGGUUUUGGUCCUAGAUAGCCACUUUGGGGUUGGUCAACAAGUAGCCACCCAAAGUGGCCAAAUUUGGGUGGCUUUAGGGUUGGUCGACAAGUUCCACCCCAAAGUGGCCAAAUGUGGCCACUUUGGGGUUGGUCGACAAGUAGCCCCCCAAAGUGACCAAAUUGACCUAAUCAUAUCAAUCAAUUAUCAACAAAAUAAAUCACUUGAUCUACAUAACAAUGCUCAGCAUAAGAAAUAAUUUCAUAUGAAACAAUUCAUAACCUAGGACAUAUCAAAUCAAAAUAAAGCUUGACAACAGAUAACUUAAUUGUUCCAAGCAGUUCAAACACAGACCAUAUAACUUAAUUGUUCCAAGCAGUUCAUACAUAGACCACAUAACUUAAUUGUUCAAAUGAAAAAAAAGUUCACUGCAAAUAACACAGAUAGCAAGCAUGCCUAGCAAGUAGAGUUCAAGGCAUAAAGCAUAGUUGAGUGCAACACAUUCAAUGGUUGCCACUGGCUGUGAAAUACAAAGCAAGUUUGCUUGGGGCCUUCCUCUUCCUCUUAGAACCAACAUCAGCUUGACCUGAUGUUGAUGCUGCCCUUGGAGCAUUGAAACCUCUUGCACUUGACCUGGUGUUCUUUACUGGAGAUGAUGCACUUGACCUGGUGUUGUUGGCUGGUGCUGAAGCAGGUGGUGGGUUCUUUCUCUUUCUUGAUCCACCUGUUGAAACUGCAGUAGAUGUGGUUGCCCUUGUUGUAGCAGAUGUGGUUGACCUUGUUGAAGUUGUUGCUAGUUUCCUGCCCCUAAGUGGUCCUAAAGCUGGAGCUGGACCUGAAGCUGGAGCUGGACUUGAAGCUGGAGCUGGACCUGAUGAUGUGGCCUGGUGGUUGUUUUUCCUUGUCAUAAACUUGGCCUUAAGUCCGUCUCCAUAGAUUGUCCACCUGUGGCCUUGCAGACCACAGUUACUGCAUGUUAUUGUGCCCAUCCUUGAUGUAUCCUUUGGAGCUGGCACCUCAAAUUCACCCUUUCUCCUAGCUGUCUGCUUCUUGCCUUUCUUCUCCCUGAAAACUGGUGGUUCUAUGUCUGGUGUGUUGGUGUUGGGCCAGAAUUCAGGGCCAGGGACAGGGUAGAUGAUGUGCUGGUAUGCAGCCUUAUACAUUGGCUUCUUAAAGAAUGGAUGCACAUAAUCUUCUGGGUGAACUUUUAUCUUCUGCAUUGCAGAUAUUGCAUGGUGGCAAGGUGAUCCAGUCAUGUCCCACCUCCUGCAAGAGCAGCUCCCUACAUCAAGCUUCACACAAUAUGUGUUCUCUCCACUAGUUACUUGCCAGAUGUUGGGACCAGCCAUGUUUGCUUCACAGUAUUUAGCCCACUUCUUGCUCUCCUCAAGCUUCUCCAUGUAAUCUGGGGUUAUUUCCCACCUACAGCUCUCUGUUUUCUCUCUGAUGCCCUGGUACUUAACCAUUAGUUUGGUCCUCAACCCUUCAAACAUGGUCUUAAUUAGUUUUGACCUAACAUCUAGAAUCAUUUUUUUGAAAACCUCACUAAGGUUGUUCACUACCAAGUCAGUCUUGCACACAUGAUCCAUUGCAUAUCUAGCCCAACACUCCUUAGGGAUGCCAUUCAACCACAUGUAGGCUGGUUCACAUGCUGCUUUCAAACCUGCCAUUCCUUCUUUGUGACCAUGUUUAGUGAAGGAAUAGCUAGCUUUGUCAACCCAUUUCUUAAGUUCUUCUGCUCUAAAGCCAGCUGACUGGAAGUUGGCAUAUAUGUGUCUUAGGCAAUAUCUUUGUGGGGAUUGAGGAAAUACUUCAUUAAUUGCUUUAAGAAGGCCCUGUUGUUUGAUUACAUAAGGUAGUAAUGAGAUAACUAUAGCAGCAUUGCUAUGUGCAUAAGAAUAAUACAGAGCCAGAGAAAAUACCUUCUGCCUGUCAGACAUGAUGGUGUAGUUUCCAAACUGGUUGCUGGUGCCAAUGCAGACUCUAAGUUGGUUUAAAAACCAGGUCCAGCUAGGCCCAUCCUCUUUGUCAACCACCCCAAAAGCAAUUGGGAACACAUUGUUGUUCCCAUCUCUCCCAGUUGCUACCAAUAUCUGUUGGCCUGUGGAUAACUUGAUGAAGCAACCAUCAAGUCUUGCAUAAACAGAGAUAGUUAGGGCAAAAUUGAAUAACUUGAUUACAUUUGUAACAUGAUUAAAUCACUGAUUUGUACCUAUGAAAGGCCUACAACCAGCAAGAAAUCCAUCUUUUGAUGCCUGGAGGCAAUAGAACAUGUACUUGAACCUUGGUGUGGGGGCUGGGUUCAAAGGAUCCUCAAAAGUUGUCACUAUGCACCUGCUUCCAGGGUUUGUGUCAAGCACACAUUGUAGGUAGUCCCUCAACCUCAGAUACUGCUUUCUAUGAUCACCUUGCACAACAUCAACAGCCAUCAGUCUUGCCCUAUAUGCCAAACUCCUAGGUACAUGCACCCCAAACUUCUUCUUAGUAUGUUUGAGAACUGUCUCUACAUCAGCCUUUACAUUUGAUCUAACUGUGUCCUCCACAGCUUCUGCAACCCAUUCAGCAGUAACCUUUGUACUCUCUCCACAAGCUCCACAACUAUGAUCCAUGUGGCACUUCUUGAUUGUGAAUGUAUCUUCAUGGGCUACUUUGGAUGCAGUCAUGAAAAAAUCACAUCCAUUCUUCCUCUCUGGGCACCAAACAAUAACCCUUGAUGGUUCAUUCCUAUGGUACUGAAAGUUUCUCAAAGUCCUAACAUGAAAAUUUCUCAAUGCCUUUCUAAACUCAUACACAUUGGUGAAGCAAAGGUCCUUGCACAGCUGCUCAUGUGCAUCAGGUACCUUUGGGUCAUACCAUUUCCUCUCUUUCUUCUUCUUCAAUCUUCUCUUCCUUCCAGAAGGUAGUCUUGGAGUCUCCCCAUCUGAGUCAGAAAUGCCCAUAUCACCAGGGAAGCAAUACUCAUCAGCUUCAAGUACAAAAUCUUGAAACUUUGGGAUCUCUGGCUGACUGUGAGCUCUGGAAGUUGGACCUGGAUUUGCUACUGCUCUUCUCACAGGCUUGAGUUUCUCAGGCCUGCAUUUUUCCACAACUAUUUCCUCUCCACUGUCUGCCUCUUUCUCCUCCUGCCAAAACUCUGAAACAUCACUGUCACCUUCAAACUGUGGUCUGUCUUCUAUAGCAUCUCUUUCUUCUUCAUUUCCAAUAUUUUCUUCACCUCUCUUCCAAGCCUUGUAAGACAUCUUUAUCCCUCUAUAGUCACCCCUAUCAAUCUCAAAGUCUGAGGAUGAUUUGUCAAUAUCAUCAUCCUCUUGACCAGCAGCCUGUCCAUCAUCAUCUCCACCAUUAGCUUCUGAAAUGUUGAAGUUACAGCUUUGCUGUGUGUUCAAAUUAACUUCAAGAGGGUGGACCACUCCAUCUUGUGACAGACUUAACACAAAACCAGGACCCCCCAGUGGGUUGCCUAUUGGAAUUUGUUCUUCACAAACAUUGUGAGCCCUGUUACAUUCAACAUCUCUAUCUUCAUUUGCCUUGGAAACAAUGAUAUUGAGCACUGUGAAAUCUAAGUGGUCUAUCAUUUCUUCAACUGCAUCUUGACUGUCCAAAAGAAAUAAACCUUCCUGUCCAAUCCCUUGUUCUUUUACCCAGUACAUGUAGUCAUCUGACCCAUAGCCUUCAGUCUCAGUAAGUGCUAUCAAGUUCAGAAAUGUGAUGUCUGAAACAGAAAACCUCCUUUCCAUAUUAUCUCUGCCCUGGAAAUGCAGCCUAACAUCCCAAACUUCAUCAUCUAGCCUGCAUUACAUAAUAUGUUAUUUGAAAAGCCCAACUAAGUAAGUGUUUUUGCUACAAAUAUUCAGUGCACACUACUAUAAAGUACAGUAAGGAAUCUGAAUCCAAAAAAUGCUUCUCUGAAUCCACCAUGCAUUUCUACUAAAUCUAACUAAUCCUUCAGUGCUAAGUGAUACUGUUGCAUCCAAAACAUGCCACAGAGUGUUUGCUCAACUAUUAUUCAGUGCAUGUUCAUGUUCUAAGAUGAAUCACAGCAGCAUCAACCUAGGGUUUGGUCAAAAAACUAACUAAAUUAUGCUAUGUUAUUUGAAAUGAACAAGCAGAAAUGCAGAAACUGUUGAAGGAGCUCAUAAGAGGAAAAAAACUUACUCCACCCCUCCAAAUGCAGAGGCCCAGUGCUGGGAGUUGGCCGGAUCUGCCUGCACAGCCCUAUCAAGAGACCUCGCUGCUCUGUACUCAAGCGAGAACUGGCAAUCAUCAGGCGACGGUGGUGUAGCCUGUGUCGUAGGAGCCUGCAUCAGAGCUGCAGCCUGUGGUGUCCGCUGCGGCGGCGGCGGCGCCGCCGGCUAGGUUGCGAAGCUACCACUCCCCAGCCAGUUAUCAACCUCUAAGAACUCGCCGCCUCCAUCCCCCCUUCCACCUCCACCCGUUGAAUGGCCGCCAUCGCCUAGUUUCGCCGCCGCCGCCGCCAUCGGAGAGGGAGGCGCGCACAAGAGAGAGGGAGACAGAGAGGGGGAAGACAGAGUGAGGGCGGGCCGGAUCCAUUUGACUUGGUCGGGACGGCCCGUGUGCCCUAACGGCCGUCACCCGCGCGCCGUGAGCACUGUGGCCGACAAAACCCUGACGGGCGGGCCCCACAUGUCAUAACCCCAGUUAAAACUUAACCGUUCGGCCACUUGGGUUUUUUGGAACAGCCAGCCACUUUUGUGGUAGUUUUUUGAAAAAUUAAAAAAAGCGGUAGUUUUCCGGAACGAUAGCCUGUAAUGUGGUAGUUUUUUGCUAUUUACUCCAAAUAAAUGCUUAAAAAGAGUGCAUCUAAUGGAGUAGUACAAAAUGGUAAAGAAAAUAAAUCAGCCACUAAUGGAGUAACAAAGGUGAUAGCACGGAGUUUGGUAGGCACCGACAAUGAGUAAGCAGGCUGAGGCCACCGGUGCACGAAGAGGAUCAGAAGCGCUGGUUGGGGCUGUGGUUUGGGGCGGCUGCGAUGAAACUUCUUAUUCAACGCUUAUAGCACCGUUUACAGUGUUAUCGGUACCUUUUUUUUGAGGGAAAGAGCCAACUUUAUUAAUCAAAAUCCACAGUGCGUGGGACACAACGAUGGUCAUGGGGCUGGCCAAGCCACACAUGACGCCCUGGUGGUAGCGAUAAAGAAAACCUAGCUAUCUCGUGAGCUUCAGCAUUCUGAGCUCGACUCUCAAAGGUGAAAUUACAUAAAAGUGGUGAUGAGCUCAUCUUUAUCUCUCUGAUUAUAGCUCCAUAAGUGCCAUGACUACCCAUAGCAAUGUCGCCAAUGACUUGUUUGCAGUCCGAAGCCACCACAAAACGUUGCACAUUAAGAUCUUGUGCUAGGGAAAUAGCCUCCCGACAUGCUAUGGCCUCCAGUGUCGCGGGGUCGCAAACUCCGACAAUGACAAGUGAUGAGCUCCCCAUAUAGACACCCUGGCUGUCACUGCAUAUGGCCGCGGCCGUGCCACCCCUCUGAAAUCUUACUGCCACGUCAACAUGAACCUUAGCAUAGCCAGCAGGUGGAGCCUUCAGCCUCUGAGUAGAAGCGUGGCCAGUAGCUGCAGAACGUACGUUGAUCUUUGCAGGGAGUGAGGCAGUAGCCAAAUCAGCCAUGAAGCGAGUUAUAAACUCCUUCGUCGCCCUGGGUGAUUGGAAUAUUGAUUCAUGGAUAGCUUUUCUCCUCGAGGUCCAGAUCGCCCAUAAGGUGACCGCCAGCAGAGUGAACUUCUCAUGUGUUAGCAUAUCCAUUAAUCCAAAGAGCCAGCUCUUCGCCCUCGUCUCCGUUGAUGCGACCAGACUGCAGCCCAAGUCCUCAUCUACCAACGCCCAUAUGCAUCUGGAGACUGUGCACUCCAGGAGGGAAUGACUCCAUGAAUCAGGAGAACCGCAGAGGCCGCACGAGCUAGUCGUUGACAUAUUACGAUGGGCCCUCACAUCCUCCGUCGGUAGUGACUGUUUUGAUAAACGCCAUAGAAACAUGCGUACUUUUGCUGGUACCACAGUUUUCCAGAGGGACUUCCAAGAGGCUUCAUCGACAUGGUUGCUGGAUGAUGCGCCGGAGCCCUCUAGCCACGCCUCUCGCCGUUGCUUCAUAGAUACCAACAUAUUAUAGGCUGACCUGACUGUGAAUUGUCCGGUUCUCUCGUGCAUCCAGCUCCAAAAGUCCUGCAUAGGAGCCGUACACAACGGGAUACCCAUGAUGAUUUUAGCAUCGAAAGGCAAGAAAGUUGCUUCCACCACAGAUCUCUUCCAUGAAGCAUUAGUUGCAUCGAUCAGUUCAGAUACUGUGUUGGGAGGAUUACUUACGCAACAACCAUACGGUCUCAUCAUCUCUGACCGGGGAAGCCAGUUUUCGGUCCAAAUGCUGGUGCUCGCCCCAUCUCCUAUCCGCUUGAUCAGUCCCAAUUUAAGAAUAUCCCGGCCUUCCACUAUGGCUCUCCAUAUCUGACUUGGAUGGUUCCCAAGUGUUGCCUCAAGUAUAGAUGUAUGUGGAAAAUAUACGCUCUUCAGAAUCCGUGCACUCAGAGACUCGGGGUCUUGUAACAUUCUCCAUGCCUGCCUGGCUAACAUGGCAAGAUUGAAAAGCUCAAAAUCUUUGAAUCCAAGGCCUCCCAUGCUUUUUGGUUGUGUCAUUGCUUCCCAAGAGACCCAGUGAGGUUUGCGUUGGCCGUUUGAGCUCCCCCACCAAAAUUUCCUUAUUAGCAUAUUGAGGUGCUCACAUAACCCCCUAGGUAGUUUGAAACAAGACAUGGAAAAUACCGGCACUGACUGGGCAACAGAUUUGACUAGUACCUCUUUUCCUGCCGCCGACAAAGUUCUCUCUAUCCAUCCCUGAAUUUUGCUCCAUAAUCUGUCCUUCAAAUAUUUGAAGGCACCGUUUUUUGAACUCCCUAUAUCAGAUGGCAUGCCCAGAUACUUCUCAUUCAAGGUUUCCUUGGGGACAUUGAACAUACCUUUUAUAGCAUUGCGAGUUUCCUCAGAAACGCCUUUACUAAAGAAAAUUGAGGAUUUGUUGUAGUUGAUUCUUUGACCUGAAGCUUGGCUAUAAAUUUCCAACAACUGGUUAACCUCUGUAGCACCCGCACUGUUGGCCUUGAAGAACAGCAGGCUGUCAUCAGCGAAUAGAAGAUGGUUAACUAGUGGUGCCUGCAGCGCCACCUGAAUCCCACCCAAGUUUGAUGACUCACUUUGUGAUUUGAAAAGGCACGACAUGCCCUCUGCUGCUAACAAGAACAAGUACGGUGAUAUUGGGUCACCUUGUCGGAUUCCACGUGAUGGGUUGAACUCCUCAAGUUUCUUUCCAUUGAACAUGACUGCGAAUUUUACUGAGGUAACCAUGCCCAUUACAAUAUCCACCCACCUUCUGUUAAAACCCAAUAUAAUCAUGAUGGCUUAGAGAUAAGCCCAUUCAACUCGAUCAUACGCCUUCAUCAUAUCCAAUUUCAGAGCACAUGAGUGAUUUUUCUUUUCCUUGUUCCUCUUCAUGAAAUGCAAUCACUCAUAUGCCGUUAUUAUGUUGUCUGUGAUCAAUCUCCCCGGAACAAAGGCUGAUUGUUCAGCAGAAAUUAUAUCUGGCAGUAUCUGUUUGAGUCUGUUGGAGAUUACCUUGGACGCUAUUUUAUAGAGCACGUUACAUAAACUUAUGGGCCGAAACUGGGCAAGGAGUGUGGGGUUUUUGACCUUGGGGAUGAGAACCAGCACCGUAUUGUUAAUGCAUGCUGCUGACUCUGUCCCGUCCACAAUUUUGAGUACCACUUUCGUUACAUCUGCACCGCAUACAUCCCAGUGGCGCUGAAAGAAGUGAGCGGGGAAUCCAUCCGGGCCAGGGGCUUUGAUUGGAAACAUUUGGAACAACACACUUUUCACUUCAUCGUGUGUGUAAGGAGCAUUCAGACGAUCGUUCAUUGCCUGCGUUACUUUAGUAGAUACUGACUCCAGUACCCUAUCCAUGCCCUGUACUCCCUCGGUUGUGUAUAAGUUUUUGUAAAAUUCGGUGGUAAGCUCCUCCAUCUCCUCCCUGUCCUCGGUCAGCUAUCCAUCCGAUCGCUGCAACAAUUUUAUCUGGUUCUUCCGGCGGCGGCGGCUCGCUCGCAGGUGAAAAGAAUAAGUGUUUUUGUCACCAUGGACCAGCCAAUCCAGUCGAGCGCGUUGGCGCCACAUCAAUUCCUCUCUAUCAAACAGUUCGACCAGUCUGUCAGCUAUCUUGGUUUCAGUGUUUGUCGGUCCCGUCCGUCCUGGCGCUGAACGCAUGACCUCAAGCUGGCGUUGGAGUUGGCGAAUCUCCAUACGCACCGAUCCGAAGUUGUUGCGGUCCCACGCUGACAAAUCUCCCGCCAGGUUCCCUAGUUUUGCAUGUAUGCCCUCAACCGAUUCUCCAUCCUGCAGACUCCAGCUAUCACGCACAGUGUCAAACAGUGUUUCGUCCCUUUCCCACAUCGUCUCAUAUUUAAAAGCCUUGUGGCCCAUUUUGCAUGCAUGCAACUCACGUAGCUGAAGAAGAAUAGGAAUGUGAUCUGAACUAGCAGCACUUUUGUGCGAUAGCUGUGAUGAUGCGAGGGCGAGAGUCCAUUCUGUAUUUACCAGGCACCUGUCCAGCCUAACCUGGGUGUAGGUGCCUCCUGUGACCCUUUUUUCAAAUGUCCAACUAGUGCCAGAGUAUCCAAUAUCUGAUAACCCACAUGUAUCAACUGCUUCCCUGAAUGCUUCUAUUUGGGCUUGGCUUCGUUGUCCCACACCAUCAUGUUCAUGGCUGUGAAGAACCUCAUUAAAAUCUUCCAUGACUGCCCACGGUCUGUUCUGCGUCUCAGCAAUACCGCGCAGGGUGUCCCAUGUUUUGUAUCUCUCUGGUACCUGGGCUUCGCCAUAGACAAAGGUAAUUCUUACCUGCAAAUCAACUAAGUCAUCAACAAGAAUAUCAAUGUGAUACUUUGAGUAAUCGAUAACUUCCACUUUUAUUUCAUCGUUCCAAAAAAUUCCAAGUCCACCACUUCUACCGGAACUACUAACUGCAAAGCUUUUAUUGUAGCCUAUGCUAUCAGCCAUACUCUCAACCCUCUUUCCCUCUAUUUGAGUUUCAAGAAUACAAACAAUAGAGGGGGCAAACUGCCUCGCUAGAUCGUGAAGCUCUCUAACUGUCGCGGCUUUGCCAAUCCCGCGAAAGUUCCAGCAAAGAAGACUCAUUGCGCUAGGCGCGGCCCCGCUUCGGAGCCCGCCACAUGCGCAUCAGGGUUUUUGGUAGAAACUGUGCUCUUCUCCAGAGCUGACUCAUUAGACGAGGUUGACUUCAAUCUUUUCAGAUCCUGCUUGGGAGGAGGGCUAAGGGGCACCGCAGGUGAUGGCAGAAACAGUUGCUUCGUCUGUUGUACCGAAUAGGUUGGGAACGUGGUUUUUGGAUCAUGUGCCCCUCUCUUCCUGUUGCGAUCAACCUCAGUCAUUGCUACAUCUCCGUCUCGCUGAUCACGUUCCUGGUGAUGUUGAUCAUCAAACGAGUCUGCACUAUUGGGCGAUCGUCCUCUUCCUCUUCCCCCACGGCCUCUGCCGCGACCUCUCCCUGCAUUGCUGCUCUCGCCUUGAUAUCUUUGAAGACCAGAGUCUUUGGGGCAUGAACCCCGUCCCCGCACUCUUUGUGUUGGUGACCUAGAUGUCCACAAACUGCACACCAGUCCGGCAGUCUUUCAUAUUUGACUCUAAAGAUGACUCGUUCCACCGAAUCCUUUUUCCUUAUUACCAGUGAAACAACGUUCUUCAAAGGUUUAGUGACAUCGAUCCUGACUCAAACUCUAGCAAAGUUACCUUCAAAAUCCGGGGAUCUAGGCUCUGCAUAUAUGAAUUCUCCCAUAGUAGCAGACAUAGCUUUGACCUUAGAAAAGAAGCCAUCGGGCAGGUCGUGAAUCUGGAUCCAAAUUUCCAAUUUGUUGAGCUCUAUAGACGACGGCUUUGUGAAGCCAUCAUACUCUGCCAGAACUACUGCUUUCCCCUUGAAAUUCCAGGGGCCAUCUCCCAUAACCCUCUCCCAGUCACCCAGGCACGAGAAUUGCAUUGAGUACAGAUUAUCUUCCAGUGGUCUGAUCUUUACCUCUUGAGCUAGGUCCCAGGCCACUCUCAUAUUCCUAUAAAACCAAUAUUGGCUGUAUGUUUUCUCCGUGUGAACCCUAGCCAACGCCAUCCAGCGUGUUUCUUCCUUCGGCAGCUCGGUGUCUUCCACCACAACAUCAAUCAGAUCAUCUUCUUUCAGUCCAAGUUCCUCCAUCAUCGCAGCCAGAUUGGACGCAGUUGUACUUGAUCCAGAUGCAGUCGAACUCAUCAUGCGCUCGCUCGAGGUUAGGGUUCCGCGAGCGGUAGGUCCCAAGGAGUCACCACCCGCCCAGAACGCCGCGGCGGCCGAAGGCCACAGCGAUCGCCGGAAGGGGGUUAACAUCCGGGGAGGAAAAGUCCCUACGGUGUCGGCGUCGCCGUCGCUCGAGGGAAGAGAAAAACCCUAACGAGAGGGGAAACUUAGGAGGGAGAUUAGUGUUAUCGGUACCUGCCGCCCACACUACUUUAGAUAGCUAAUUGUAACUGGGCUGGCCCAUAUGUGUGAGCCCUCCUCCAUUACCGGUUGUGAAGGAAUUUCCUAUUCAACGCUUAUACCAUUUGUUAUAGUGUUUUCCUUUUGUUACAGUGUUAUCCGGGGACCUCCUACUUGGUCACCUGCGCGCAAAGUAGGAGGGAACGUGCACCCUUGGCUCCCAUGUAAGAGUUUUUCCCGCCCUAUUUUUAUUAUUUCAUUUUUAUGCCUUUUGUUUUUUCAUUUCUGUUUGUGUUUUUCUUCUUUAAAUAAUGUGUGGUUAAAAAAAUUCCCAAUUUCAAAACAAUACCAAAAUUGUUUGACAAAUCAGGAAAUAUUUGUGAAUUAAAAAUUGUUGAUGACUCUUCACUUCAGUGUCUCGACCCACCGGAACAAAAGCCGUGUGUACAAAUUGUGUUCGAAGCUUAUCGUAAACUGGCUUAGCAAGUGUAGUCUUGCCAAGUCUGCCUGGUCCAACAAUUGAGACCAUCUUCAUCUUGUGCUGCUGUUGCUUGAGACCAUGUGUGAGCCUCUUGGUUAGCUUGUUCCAUGCAUCUUCAAUGCCAACGAGCUCUUUCUGAUCAUUGUACAAAGCCAAUACACGAGGGUCAACCUUCUGUUUGCUAGCUGGAUUAGGAACAUCAUUGACCCUGUAUCUGGCACGCCGGCCAGCCAUCUCUUGAGAGCGGUUCUUGAUGUACCUGAUUGCAUCUCCGAUCUGAUGGCGAGUCUUGCCUUUUGUGAACAAGUUGGCCAUCUUCCCUACCUAUCAUUUGAUCAUGUUUGAGUUGGGGACGGCAUCAGAUUCAUAUCCCUCGACGGACACUAGGAAGUUAUCGAUGACAUCCUCCAUGUCAUACGACAGCUCCCUUUUAGGGAUUCAUGUCCCUUGGAAUCUCCGCCACCUUUACGAGGGCAGCGUUCAAGCUCUUCAUGUCCCUCUGGAGGGACUCGACGUACCGAAUAAAUGGGAGUUAGAGGACAGGAAUCUGUUGUAGGAAAGACAAAGGAAAUUGUUCUCCAUCGCCGUCCGGUUCCACUGGGAAAAAAUUACAUCCACUGCAACACCAAGACCGCAUGCUUACCGAGUAGUAGUAGAAGCAGCAGAGCUGAGUAAGGCACCCACUACCGAAUGCAGGGAUAAAUCCAGCACCAAGUAAGCAGCUCACAAGUGAGAGACGGCAUGCGCUUUGCGAACGGAAGGACAGGAGCAGAAAACAUUUUGGGAGAAAGAUCGACGUGGCUCAGAAAAUUGAAGGCGGUCUACUCCUCCUGAUUGAAGCCGGCGACUACACAAGCGCCAUGGUUUGAUGGAGCAAGAGAAAUGGUGUUGAACCCCCAACUCGUUCCAUUUCUAGCAGAAAAGUAGGGCAAUAAUUGAGUGGUGGUAUGUUAUUAGUGCUGGUAAUGGAGUAGGAAGCACCCUAGAAGUGCACCAACUAGUACAUCAAAAUACUCCUGCCAGUGGCGGUGGUAGAUCAUUCAUGUGUACUACUCGAUCGUAACAAGAACAAUUACAUGAACCAGCUUGUGCCACUAGUAAUAAUAUUUAGCUUAUUUUUACAUUAAGUUUUGCAAUGAAUAAUAUUUAGGUUAUUAAAAAGACUAUAGUUUAAUGGAUGGCCCAGAUUUGGAAAUAUUACUGCAGAUUUUUGGUAGUAAUAGACUUGCUUCACUUGUCGAUUUAUAUGAUCUGUCGCUUUCAGCGACGUUUGGGGCUGUGAUUUGGGUUUGUUGUCAUUGAAAUUGCACAACUAUAGAAACUGGAUUCUUUUUUAUUAUUAUAGUGAGCACAAGGAAUCAUGUUACUAGUUGAAUUCAUAGAAAAAGACUCCAUUCAGACUCUGUCCUGCUCCAUGAAAAUAUCCUAUCAGAUAGACGCAGAGCGGUACAUAUACAGACUCAGGUUUCUUGAAAUCUAAUGCAACCAAGUCUUGUACAAUGGUCACAUGUUAUGUGACCUGAACCAAUUAUGGGUUUGCACUUGAUAAUUCCCGCACGAACCACAUGUAAACAUGGUUCGAAGGCUUGAAUAACAAUGUAAAAUUGAUGUCAAGUUUUCCCGACUUGAUUCCUGUCUAGGUUGGAGUCAUCAGUCUACUUGAAGCACUCGUUUUUCUCAUCUACGUUGGAGGACUGAUUGGAGCAUGAAUUAGUUGAGGAGAUAGAAACCCAUUUUUGGCGAGGGAGAGGACAGAAACCCAUGACACAACAAGGUUUUCAUGAUCAUCAUUGGCUAACUUCAAAGUUCCAACAGAGUGCCAACUACCAAGUGAGUAGCAGUACAAGGCACUGUUCAGCUGAAUCAAUCUUUACAACAUUAACCUAUCAUUCACUGGCGUUUCAUACCCAGAAUUGACUCUUAUAACAGUACAGAAGCAAACCCCUACUUCGAGUCAGUGUUGCUCUGUACUUUUUUUAACGGAGGUUAUAACUACGGCCUCUUUAUUUAUUAUUCAGCGGCCAUCUUUAUUUAUUAUUCCACCAAAGUCUAACAAAAACAUACAUCAAGCUACUCGAAGACAUCACUCACACCUACAAAACUCGAAAAUGUAGAGUGCUCUCACACUCCUCAUAUCUAAACCGGUAUCGUCGCUGAUCCAUCCACAUAACGUGUCGGAACGAACAGCCAGUGCAGCAGACCUAAAGCGCACACCACAUGCACAUGUUUUAGACGCCGCCAUCAUCUGCAGACCGCUGACCCAUCUUCAGGAGAGAGAUCCACAUCAUCCUUGCCAGUCCGUCCAUCCAGUCCCUCCCUCCUCUCGGCCUCCCUAUUAUCCCUCCUCACCCUCUGCUGCUGAUCUGUGGCGGCCUCUCCAAUAGCUCUGUGGCCUUCUUUCGCUGCCGCACCGGCCCGAGCGUUGUCGCUUGCAAGCCGUCCGGAGGCCACAAUGGCGCUCUCCCGUCGGGACUUUGCCACAUUCCAGCAUAUCAGUUGCUCUGUCAUGGGGAUCUGUCCUGCUCCUAGCCGUGUCUCCCGCGAUGGUGGUAGACCUGACUUGUACUACAAUGUUCUUUGGUCGCACGGCUGGCCACGGCGGUUUGCUCCGUUCCUUUGUAUCUAUGUUGCAGCUUCAAUUGUGUUAUGCAUGUCAUGGAUGUAUUAUAAUUCUGGGAUGCAUGUAAUUGUAUUGCUAUGAAUCUUAAAAUUGCUAGGUGUUCCAUGAACCAAUGAAUAUGCUAGAAAAUAUUACUCUGUCAUAUAUAUGUUAGAAAAUGUUCUCGUCGGGCCGGGUUUCUCUGCCCUAGAGAACAUAUUCUACAUGUUAUAUGCGACAAUGUAGUGAUGAAUAUUUCACCGGAAAUAGUGUAAAUGCAACCAACUCCCCCAUUAGGAGACAGAGUGGAAUAUUGUUUGACGAUAGACUUGGUUUAUGCAUAUUCGACGCACGUUUGAAUUUUUUCUCCCGAGCCACAAGAAAGCUCCUCGCGCGACCGCGUCCGUCCCUCAUGGGCGGCCGGCCGCGCUGUCCAUCCCUCCUUCCCAGCGCUCUCCCCCACCCUCUCUCUCCCCACCGUUGCCGGGGUGCAUCCCCGGGCUCGGCUCGGGCGGCGCCGGCGGUGCGGCCCACGGCUUUCCCCCCUGCGGCAGAUCCUGUGCGGGGCGGCGCUGCUUAAGGAGGUGCUCUCAGGUGGCGAUGGUUCGGCGCUGCGGUGGGCUGGUUCGCCGCUGACUUCGGUGGUCAGAGGCGGAGGAGCUCCGCGGCGGCGCGGGCUGGUGGCGCCCGUUCGGCCCAGAUCUGGGCCGAGGCGGGCCGGCAGCUCCGAUUUGUGGUGUAUCUUCCUGGAAGCGGCGGUGGGGUGUCUGGAUCCUGGGUGGUGGCGGCAUCGUUGCCGGAUUGUGCAGCGUGGCGGUGGAGUCUUUGCGGGAUCGAUCUGAGCCCGGCUAGGCCCGGGUGGCCUGGUUUGCCUCCCGCCUCGGCGUCCGGCUGGCUACCGCGAUGGCGUUGGAGGAACUGGCCUCUGGCGCGGCGUCGGUGGAGGUUGUCCCCUCCCGCUUGGCUGCGGUGCUGCCACCCCCGGCUCCAUGCGUUCUCAUUUUCCGUCCUCUAGGCCUCGCGGUGGUGGCCUUAGUGAGACGGCGUGGGUGGCCUCAAGACCGCGGUGGCGAAGGAGGGUGGGUGGCGUGUUGGGUGGAAGACUCCGGAGCGAUUGGGUAGUGUGCACAAGUGUUAGAAUCCUAAAAGGUAAAUAGUUUCUUAAGAUCUGAAGCAAGUGUUGGAAGAUUCUGCUGCCUCUAGAUACACAACAAAUGUCCACAUGUUGCUUCUUGGAGAAGCCGAGAGAGCCUUGAGCGGAGUGUUUAACCUUAUGUAUGAUAUUCUUAACUACCAUUUGUAUUAAAUGAACCAAUAAACAUUUUAUGUUAAUUGUCUUGACAAAUUUUGCUGUGUGCAGACUUACAUAUUAGUGGCACUACACAAAAAAAGAUGGCUAAGGGGUUUAUGAAGUAGGAUAGAGAUUGGUGAGAAAAUAUGUGCCCUCUCUCUCGUUUGUAAAGAGGUUCAAAUGUUAUGUGUGUAGCUUUUGCUAGUAUUCUCGAAUCGUUGGCCGUGAAUUGUCAAUUGUGUAAAUGUACAUGUGAAUUGUCUUAUGAAAAACAAUGUGCAACUGAGUGAUUAUGCCUGUGUAUUGUGUUCAUGUCUUUCUGUAAAUUUCGUUUGCAUUGCUGGUAACAUACUGAAAUGAAGUGCAUGCAUGCAAUGGUGAAAUGAAUCGGUACGAUCGACUGGCUGGCGGUCCAAACUAGUACACUAUCACUGACCGGUUAGAUUGCGGGUCUAUGAUGAGCAAGUCAUCACAAACCCUGAUCCACUGACAGACCAGCAACUAGUUAGUGAUGAUGAAAUUUGGCCGGUAAGUGUUAUUCGGAUUUGUAGUANNNNNNNNNNNNNNNNNNNNNNNNNNNNNNNNNNNNNNNNNNNNNNNNNNNNNNNNNNNNNNNNNNNNNNNNNNNNNNNNNNNNNNNNNNNNNNNNNNNNNNNNNNNNNNNNNNNNNNNNNNNNNNNNNNNNNNNNNNNNNNNNNNNNNNNNNNNNNNNNNNNNNNNNNNNNNNNNNNNNNNNNNNNNNNNNNNNNNNNNNNNNNNNNNNNNNNNNNNNNNNNNNNNNNNNNNNNNNNNNNNNNNNNNNNNNNNNNNNNNNNNNNNNNNNNNNNNNNNNNNNNNNNNNNNNNNNNNNNNNNNNNNNNNNNNNNNNNNNNNNCUCGGGUUUCUGCCCCUUUAUGAUAUAUGAGAAAACUGAACGAUUCAGGUGAAACUAGUCAUGAUAAUAAUUAGCAAUUCUAGUAUUUUAACACACAUAUCCCAAUCACUAUAGUUUUUUCAAACGACUAUUUUAACAACGCAUCUACGAUUCAUAGUAAAAUGUGACAUUGUAUACUGUAAAAUUUCUACAAUCUACAAGGUCAAAUUUAUUGUAAAUGUGACCACAACACCAGAUACACUAGAAAUAAAGUAAAACCCUAAAAGUCCCAUGCUAGCUAGACUACUCUUGGUUGGCUAGAAAUUAGGAGGGAGUACCCAGAUGCCAGUUUGAGCACGAGCUGCUACAUAAGAUCCCGCUGAUUUGAUCCUCUGUGUGACAUUGUCGCUACUUUCAUCUUGCAUAGGAUAUACACGGUUACCAUUGCCAUCAAAACUUGCCAAGUAUGUCAUAUCAUCAGCGUAGAUGUGGUUUCUCUGCACCCUGUCGCGCCCAACCACCGGCACGUCAACCGCCCUGGACAUUUUCCCCAAAAAUAAGGCGGAGUCACCCAAGGUCCUUACUUCCUCCCACUUACGAGCAUACUUUGUCAUCGAGUCAUCAUCCAACACAUAAACCUUGAAGAAAGGCUCAGGGCCGGUGUGGUAUGAUGGGAAUUUCCCCAGUACCAUCGCUAGCUUCCCUUGCAGCUCAACAAUGUGAGUCGACCAUGUGAAAGGUUCACUAACAAUCUUGAUAUGCAACUCGGCGUCAAUGGCGAGCAGAGGCCUGCCAUAUUUGUUCGCGCCUAUGUUGAAUUUGAUCAGGUCAUUGGAGAAUAUUAUAUUAAUGUCAAUUUAAUAUUAUACUAUGUGUCGUCAAUUUAAAAGGCUCCUGCCGUCAUGCCUUUGAGUAUUAUAUUAAUGUCAAAUUGUUUAAAUGCUAGUAAUUAGUUAACUUAGAAGCAAACUGUUUAUUGAUAAAAUGCUAUAGUAUAAUUAAGGGAGUUUUUUUUUUGAAAAAUAAUAAUGUUAGAUAUAUGCUGAUGCAACAAGGGCAUGAUUUUAUUUGUUAGCAAUACUAAUAAAAAAGUUCAUAGAAAAUAAUUUUAUACUCCCGAGGGUUAUACACAUAGUUUAAUUUGUUAAUUGUUAAAAAGUUAGCUAUACAACUAGCUAUAUAUUUGUAAAUACUAAUUAGUAGUGUAAAAAAGCAGGAACGAGCACCCGCCUAUGAUACCUUGAUUUACCAACACAAAACGUGCAUCUUGUGUGUAUGAUUGUGAAAUGCACGUUGUGUGUGGAGUUUGACAUCUAAUUUUUAACCCGCUGUUGGUCUUUCAUAUAGAGGAAUGUCUCGCUGUGCUUCCACGAGUCCCUGUAGUUCGCUACGGCUCAGAAACACAGUGUUCGGACGUCAGAUACACUAAAGUUGCACUAUGACAACCAUUGUACAAUCCAGCCCGCCUCAGUUAUAUUAAUAAAAAUAUCGAUCCGAGAACUUUAUCAUGUAUCUGGUUGCGACAGACGCAUAUACGUUCGAGAAAAAGGAGAUAAAUGGUCCUGCGAAGGUAAGGUGGCAGCUAUCGGUGUUCUAGUACACAAGACAACCGAACGCUACACACAGUACUACAAGUCAGUAAUAAAUAGAGUCUGGCGACUACUAGGCUGGCAUGACAGUGCUGUCGAGCGACUCGCCGAUGUGUAUGGCAAUGUGGAAAAUGCAUCCCAUUACUUCUCAUCUCCGCUCCUCUUUGCUCGGUUUGUCCAAGAAGCGGAACACACCACUCAUGUCGGCCUACAUGGCAUAACAUGCUCGUGGAGAAACUAUGNNNNNNNNNNNNNNNNNNNNNNNNNNNNNNNNNNNNNNNNNNNNNNNNNNNNNNNNNNNNNNNNNNNNNNNNNNNNNNNNNNNNNNNNNNNNNNNNNNNNNNNNNNNNNNNNNNNNNNNNNNNNNNNNNNNNNNNNNNNNNNNNNNNNNNNNNNNNNNNNNNNNNNNNNNNNNNNNNNNNNNNNNNNNNNNNNNNNNNNNNNNNNNNNNNNNNNNNNNNNNNNNNNNNNNNNNNNNNNNNNNNNNNNNNNNNNNNNNAAGACGAUGAAAAUUGAGUAAACACAAAAGUAAAGUAGCCGGUCUCAUUAUCAUUAGAAGACGAUGGCAACUACUGCAUGCACCCAUACAUUCUUGGAUCGCUAUAUUUGGCUUAUUCGGUCACAAACCGACGACUUUGCAGCUGCUACAUAAACAACGCUACUCUGGAUCUUAGGGAAAAAUGUUUGGAGACGGAUAUUGAUAAAGGAAACCGAGGAGAGUUGGUGAUGUGAGUCUACUCCAUCGUGCAUGCUACCUACAUGGACAAGCACAUCCGACCUGGCACAGCCUCGAGUUUCAUUAUCCCCUCUUGAUCCCUCUGAUGUUUCCUCUUUCUCUUCAUCAUCAUCUUCACAUCCCUCAAUGUGCACGUUUUUGUGCCUCGAUUUGAUUGGUUCAACUACUUGCUGGCUAUCCUCAGAGUGGUCAAUUUUUUUGGUGUUCGCGAGGAGUCACCAGUACAAGCAUGGUACUGAUAUGUCAUACAUGACCGUGGCAUUUGUACUUGUAGUUUCCUUUCAUUUUUCAUUUUCCUUUUUAAACGCAUACUGUACUUUCUUUACUACACGAUAAUUAAUAUACACUGCACAUUUUUGUAGUAUACGUCAAACAAAUUUUUUAAUUGUAUGAAAACAUAUUUUAUAUUCACACUAUUUUAAAAAAAUAUAGUGAAUAUUUCUAAAUACAUCUAUAAUUUUUUAAUACACAAUGGACAAUUUUUUCAUGUACACAUAACACUUUUUAGUAUAUGAGGAACAUUUGAAAUAUACGGCGAACAUUUUCUAUAUACCCACUAAUAUUUUUAUAAAUGCUGAACAUUUUAAAAGUACACGUUCAUUUUUGUGUUUUCACAAACCAUAGAAAACCAAGAAACUGAAGUAAAAUGAAUAAACGAAAAAAAACAGUACCGGACAGCUCCGUCGCUGCAAAAAUAGGUCUGCACGUCUUAGUGGGCCUACCCAUUCAGAGUCACCUAUGCGUAUCCUCAACUUUUUCGACAACGGGUGCCUUUUAUUUACUUAUAAUGUUGCAUCGAGGGAUACAAUCAUAACAAGCACACACCCAAACUAUGUAUAACUAGCAUACACACUGCGAACACACAUAAAAAAUCACACUGGCAAAUAACAAAGUCAAAUAAGACAAGAACUAUGGCUAGACACAUACAGAAAACGAAGGAAAGAAGAAGAAAUCCCGAGGCGACCAAAAGAGCAUACGUGAGUGAUCAUAUGUGCCAACCAUCUGAACUACUGCGUCAACUAGGAGGUCUCGCUUCUAAGGCCAUCAAUAAUAUUAACGAUGGUUCCAUAUAAAAAAAGAAUAUUAACGGUGGUAGCAGGUGCGAGAUCUUAAAUUAUCAUUUUUUAAGGCCGCUCCAUCGUUUUUGUUCUGCACAAGUGGCUCCCCUAGCCGUAACCCCACCCACUGGUUAUGUAGUUCUUUAAGAGAAAAUCGAUGACACAUGCAAGCAACAAUUUUGUAUCUUCUGUCAUUUGUUUAUACUAUGCCAUCACGAGGAGAUUGCACUUAAAAAGACAAAUUGCAUAUAGGAUAGUUAAAAAAGGGUUGUUUUCUGUCGUGGAAAGGUUGAUUCUAGUAUGAGUAUUCUCUUGGUAUCCGUUCCUUCAUGGAGAAGAGAAGGUGAUUUUCUCUCGCCGCCCCGUCAAUUGAAAUUAUACAUGUUCAAUGAUGACAUGAAGGUUAAUUUCACACCACUCAUUCAUUGUGCUUGCCUUGAGUUCCCUUCAAGGAUAUACCGUGGCAUUCCCGCCUCAAAGAGCUUUUUCAAACCCCUUUCUCAAGAUGCACAACUCAGUCAUUGUUAUCUUGUGUAGACGGGUUCAUCCAACAGGGUAUAAGAUAACACGAUGGACUGAACUGAAGAGAAAAGAAAAAAAAAAUCAUCUACUAAGCCUUAAGCAUUAAACAAGCUUGGAGUGUUGGUCAGCGUGCGACAUCAUUCAAGAAUUUUGUGGACCUACGCUGACCCAAUGAACUUGUGCCCUAUCCCUUGAAGAAAUAUCUCAUCAAUUAUGAAUAAAAAUGUUUGAAGCAUAGAAGUACUCAUGUUUUGACAACAAUACGACCCAUUGUCAUAAACUCAUAAUAUCCCCAAUUUUUACUCAUGAAAAUCAUGUUUGCAUCCCUUUUUGACUCGUUACAUUGCAAUUGUGUCCCAAUUAGAUAACAAUAACACUAAUGAUUGAGCUUGCCAUUGGUAUUCAGUUAUGUGUACACACACAUCACCUUAUGGGUAUUUCACACGAGAAGAAAAUUAGAGGCGAUUUAUUUGCAACUAACAGGCGCUUGCCGCCUCCCAUUGGCUCGCUGCUUGCCAACAAGCAUUCGAUUCCAUUCAACUGAAUUUAAGAAAAAUGGUCAGCAUGUUGGCGCUGUACUGUGUUGGGUUCGUUGAUUGCAUCCAUAUAUAUAAGCAGUCCAUUCCAUUCAACUCAAUUCAUCAACUGCAUCCAUAAUAAAUAUCAAAAAUUCCCCAUGGCACACAACGUGAUUUGCUUGCUUCUUGAUCGGAUUAUCAAACACCGGAGGGGUGUCUUCCUGUGUGAGGGUGGCCGAAACAAACUCGGCAAUUGCAGACGCUCUGAACUCGCCAUCUGCAAUACACACAGUACAUUGUUAGCCAAUUUAACAGUCAAACCAACUCGGUACAUAGAAAUGGAAAGGAGAAGCUAAAACAAGUUUACCAUAUACUGUUAACUUCGCCUCUUUUUUCUUGAGCAGGACUAGUGAUGGGCGCUUUGCUUGCGGGUCAACAUGGAAAAGCUUGGCUAUAUCAGGACUGGUAGUCUGGUAGAUGUUGACAGCCCGGUACAAGCUGUUGAAAUCUUCCAGCCUUGAGGCAGCAGCAAGCUCUUCGGUGUGAGCACCCUAUAGCAUUUGUUGAUAAGAGUAAUCAAUUUUGGGCCACAUGUGCGGUGCAAUUGCAGCAAUUCGGUUGGAUGGUAGACUUUGCUGGGAUUGGAACGUACCGAAAGGGAGUCGAGGAAAGCUAGCACGGCUACUUUGCCGCCGGUGAUGAUCUUCUCGGCCUCGUCGAUGGUGGUGACGUUCUGCACCUCAGGGCCCAGCCUCUGGGAUAUCCAAGUGACCAUGGCGUCCCUGCAGCAGUGGAAAAUUCGCCACCAUGAGGGAUGAAAUAUAAGACCGUUUAGAUCACCAAAGUAAUCUAAACCACGAACAAAAAAUAAGAACAAAAAAUUUGAAUGGAACAUUUCCUGAAAUUCACAAACAUUUCUUAAAAACAUGAAUCUUUCUAAACCACGAACAUUUUUUAAGUUGUCAACAAGAACAUGUUUUGAAGAUUCAGAAGAGUUGUAGUAAUUUUUUUCUUUAAUGCAAACAUUAUUUUCAAUUUUUGAACAUAUUGUGAAAACAACAAUAUUUUUAGAAUUUGGAAUAUUUUCAAAAUGCAUUUUUCUAAAUAUUGUUUUUUAAAUACAGUUAUUUUUUAACAAAUGGCAAUAUUUUUUAAAUUUUGAAAUACAUUUGGCAGAACUAAAAAAAUUCCAAACAUUUUUAGAAUAGGAACACAUUUAUGUAAUUCGUAUAUUUUUAUGAAUUCUUGAAUAAAAAUGAAAUUGCGAUAUUUUCCGAAAAUUUUGAAUUUCAGAAAAUACGUAGAAAAUAGACUUAGAAUGUGAAAAGUAAAAAAUAAAUACGAAACAAAAAGAGAACUAAGCAGAAAAAUAAAAAUGGAAACCGAACACAAGCAUAAAUCGGCCGCUGAGUUUUGGGCGCCUUGUGCGUACCUGAAACUAUUUACCGCCUUGUGCGGGAAAUAGGAUUUUUUGUUGCUACAUGGGCAGGAAAAAAUGGGCUGAAUUUACGGGGCCAUAGUGCGCGCGGCCCAUGUACGAAAUUUUGCACAAAUUGUUUUUCCUUUGCUAAUAGACGAACAUAGAAAGUUUAGUACCACCUCGGAAAGAAAAACAAUAAUUUUUUGGCGGUGAACGGAUAAAAAAAUCGGAGAAACGCACCUUGCUUUAUUAGUAGGUAUAUAUAGAUAUUGAUAUAGAUAUAGAUUGCUCAAGGUGAAAAGCUAAGGCUAUCCUCUUAAGAAAAAAAACGAAGUUAUCUUCCUCGAAAGAAAAACAAAACUAUGUUAUAUAUCCUCCUCUCAAUCAACAAAAUCACCUCUCCUCGAGCAAGCCAACUCUGACUGCACCAUGGGUAAACGUCAAGAUCCCUCCGAACGAUACACGAGAACCGUCUCGGCCACUGCCAAACAAUUGGCCACAAGCUUCGACAACAUAGCAGCUUGGAUUUUGCCGAUGAACUUUGCUGGGGAAAAUUGUAAGCCUCGCACCGAUCUAGUCCAGCGCAAUCUCUGGAGAGCAGCGUCCACUGAAACCAUCUUCAUGGAGUCAUCGUUUCCGCAGGCGCCCCUCCACACACAGCUUCAUCUUCUUUGUUACAACAAGAAACAAGCAUAGGCACACCCAUUGGCACACCCGACUGUCAAAUUCAGAAGGGCCAACCACGACCUAGCUCCGCUCGCCACCAUUGUCGUCGCCACGAGUGCCAACACCAACUACUCGCAUCAUCAGCUGUGCACCAUCCAACCGUGAGAAUGUGCAUAUCCAACCCAGGAAAAGUGUGGAGGGGAACAAAUCUUCAAGACGGCGCCCUAAGUGGGGAGCGAUGCAGAAAUAACAAUGUUGUCCGACCCUGCAACAGGGACCUUAGGCUUUUACUGAAGACAUCCCAAGGGUGACCAAGAUGGAAGAGCUGCACGGCGACCCUCCAAGAAGGAAUAACGACACUAGCAACCGCCACAUCAUCAUUGAUGGCAUAAUCCAGGCAAGCCUUUGCCCCGGAGGAACAAACGUGCACAUACACCCCCACUAGACAAAAUACUGCCUUACCUAUAGACAAAUCAGUUCUUUUUUGGGCGAGAUAAGCCCAAAGUAAUCUGUGCAAAUAUUCUCUGUAAAUUCAAAAUCUAUGUGUAUUAUAUGUAGUUAAUCAACAUUUUACCGCCCAAAUUAGAAUCCUAGCCACUUUAUACCUCGAACUUUCAUUAAAUGUGUCUAGACUUACGUAUUGAGUGCACCAUGCAUGCUGCCAAGCCAACCCGCGUUGAAUCGCGCCAUAAAUUUCCUUAAGUUUAAAUUUCCGCUAGGAUUUACCUUGUAAAUAAGUUUCCACCGUUCUUACUAGCACAAAUUUAAAGCUUUGGGGUAAAUCCUUUCUGCAUAAUCCCUGUAAAAAAUGAUAAAAGUAAAGGUACAAAGUAGAAAUUUUAAUAUAUAUCAUCACACAAUCAUAGUACAACCAGCACACACAUACAAUUAUCAUCCAUACAAGCCAGAAAAGUAAGUCAGAACAAUCACAAGAUUUACAUGGGCAUCAUACCCUAAUCUUGAUUGAUCUUGACAUUAUAUAGCACAGAAUGACUUGAUGGUGGUGGGUUACAACACACCACUUAUUUAAUCCAGCAGGCAAUAUAAGUCACGAGUAUACUAUAUCUGGCGCGGUUGAUGUACUCGAACAUCUCAUCCCAGCGGCUCCUCUUGGAUGUGUGCUUCCACAUUUUCCUUUUCCGCUUGUGUCCCAAGUGGUGGUUUUGGUUGUGCAUUCGGGUCCGGCAGUCCAGGCAGUGGUUGUGGGUUUGGGUCUGGUAAUGGUUGUGGGUUUGGAUCAGGCUGCGGUCCUGGUAAUGGCUGAGGGUUUGGGUUUGGUUGUGGGUCCGGCAAUGGUUUUGGGUUUGGGUCUGGUAAUGGUUGUGGGUUUGGAUCAGGCUGAGGUCCUGGUAAUGGUUGAGGGUUUGGGUUUGGCUGUGGGUUNNNNNNNNNNNNNNNNNNNNNNNNNNNNNNNNNNNNNNNNNNNNNNNNNNNNNNNNNNNNNNNNNNNNNNNNNNNNNNNNNNNNNNNNNNNNNNNNNNNNNNNNNNNNNNNNNNNNNNNNNNNNNNNNNNNNNNNNNNNNNNNNNNNNNNNNNNNNNNNNNNNNNNNNNNNNNNNNNNNNNNNNNNNNNNNNNNNNNNNNNNNNNNNNNNNNNNNNNNNNNNNNNNNNNNNNNNNNNNNNNNNNNNNNNNNNNNNNNNNNNNNNNNNNNNNNNNNNNNNNNNNNNNNNNNNNNNNNNNNNNNNNNNNNNNNNNNNNNNNNNNNNNNNNNNNNNNNNNNNNNNNNNNNNNNNNNNNNNNNNNGGCAAUGGUUUCGGGUUUGGGUCUGGAAAUGGUUGUGGGUUUGGAUCAGGCUGCGGUCCUGGUAAUGGCUGAGGGUUUGGGUUUGGUUGUGGGUCCGGCAAUGGUUUUGUGUUUGGGUCUGGUAAUGGUUGUGGAUUUGGAUCAGGCUGCGGUCCUGGUAAUGGACGAGGGUUUGGGUUUGGCCGUGGGUCUGGUAGUAGCUGCGGGUUUGGGUUUGGCCAUGGGUUCAUCAACCGUUGCAGGUUUUGGCCUGGCAAUGGUUGUGGAUUUGGGUCAGGGUGUGGUCCUGGUAAUGGUUGAGCAUUUGGAUCAGGUUGUGGCUCAGGCAGUGGUUGUGGGUUUGGAUUAGGUUUAGGAUCGGGUAGUGGUUGCGGGUUUGGGUCUGGUCGUGGUCCUGGCAGUGGUUGUGG
rnacentral:lncRNA from 1 species